GGUAAAAAUGGACAAGUGUCCGACAGUAGAAUUAGGGGUACAAGAUACCCACGUGAGAGAAAAAGAAAAUAUAGAGCAUCUCAUUUUCCUCAAAAAGUUUCAAAAGAGCAAGAAAGGUAUGUACCCCCUCAAAAGAGCAAAAGUAGAAUUAGACUUUCACCAUUGUUAUUACCAUCGUCACCAUCAUACACCAUUCAUUCGCCACACAUGCACAUCUUGAUUUGACUUAUUGACUUGUUCUUCUGGAUCCAUGGUUUGACUAUGCAAUAAAUGUCUUGUAAGUAUGAAUUAGCUGUCUCCCACCUAUGAGCUCCAGAUAUCAAAACUUUAUUAGAGUAGGGUGAGAGAGAAGGCAAUGCCACUAUGUGCCAUACCAAAAAUACAACAUACUUUGAGAGAAGGCAUAUACCAUUACUGCCUUGGUAAGGAUCUAGAAAUACCACAAAUGAGAGACUAGAGAGAGUCAUACAAGGAAUCUCUGAGUUUUAUUUGAAAAUCUGCAAAAAACUCCAGAGCUUUAGUUAAUCGAAGAACAAGAGACAUGGUGCUUGAUUAGACCGUUCUAUCUUUUAACUGCUCAAGACACAAGUGACGGUUGCAAGCCCCAUGGUGGAAGGUAAUAUGAGUAAGUUUAAAUCUUAACAGUUUACCCUAACCUAGAGAUGAGAUCUUGUUUGAACGCAUGUGUAUCUUUAAGGCAUGAAACCACUGCAAAAAUUCUUGAGUUCAUCUUUGCUCAGGGACGAGCAAAGGUUAAGCUUGGGGGAGCUUGUUGACAGUCCUUAAUGCUCACAUUUAACCAUCAACUAAUCAUGGAAAAGGAUCCAAAUGCAACCAACACCCAGACUUAGGGUUUUAUCUCAUAGAAUUCCACGAGUUUUGGUGUUUGUCUAUUUCUGCAGGGGGUUAUCAGGAAAUAAGGAGGAAAGGCCCACACAUCGGGUUUACAUAGAGAUAUUAACGUGCCACACAAUUUUCUAUCAUCUAGAAGACUCCAGAAGCCACGGGACCGAACGGGAAGGCAAUCAGGCUCGGAGGCAGGGCGCCCGCCCUACUCUCCUGGGCGCCCGCCCAGCUACAGUGCCCAAUCAGGACACGUUUCGCGGAUUAUGCUCCACCGACCUAAAGGAUCAAGGAAAACCGUGCGAUUAAUGUCGGUUUGAUCCGACGGCCUAGAUUCACUUGAAAGGACUAUAAAACCAGACCCCCUGGCCCCUGGAGAUCAUUCCUCUUCUACAGAAUCAAAGCUAGGGUUUCAAUUCUUCAUCCAAGUAGAGAGGAUCCCUCUAGUUCUUCUAGUUCUACAUCUAGUUCAUCUAGAUCUAGUUCUAGUUCAUCUAGUUCUAGUUCUAGUUCCUCUAGUUCUAGUUCUAGUUCUAGUUAGUUCUAGUUGUAAUCUAGAAAAUAGGGAGAGAGAUGAGGAGAGCAGAGGAGGAGGAGCCGGAUCUGUCGGAUCUUCCUCAACAUUGUACUUUUGCAGCAACUGGUUCGUUCUUCUUCGUUCUCUAGGUUCUUCAAUUCAUAAUUCCUGAGUUAUUUAGUUACUUUUAUUUACAUUCAAGUUAUUUAUUGGAUUCCCGCUUGCAUCAAGUGCUCUAAUCUUUGAAACAUUAGAGUAGUAAUUAAUAGAUUAGACGUGGUGUUUAGUCUUGCAAUUACUUGGAAUUGCACCCAAUCCUGCGGAUUGUUGUGGUAGCCUUAGGGUAGUGACAGCCCUAACGGUCGACGUAUUCCACCUCGUUCGGAUCGGUGUUUGUAGGACCGUAGUCAGACCUUCCUAGCCCCCUUCUCAUCUCUUUCUGUGGUUAGUGCUCUGAUGUCCCGAAAUAGAUAAACUUGAAGUAAUUCUUGAUUCUUAGAUGAACUAGAGAACUCUCAGGAAACUUCCUCUCUUCCCACCAAAAAUAAUUAUAUAGUUAUCCUUGGGCGAUCUUGGAUCUUACUUAGUACACUCACGUUCCCUGUGGAAAAUCGAUACUCUGGAAUACUCCCGGGUGAAGGCUACAUCGGUAUCCGUGCGCUUGCGGAUUUUUCUGUUUGCGUUUAAAAUACCCAACAGGGAGUUACCGAUGGCCUAUGAUACCGAUGAUAAAGCAGUGAGAGAAAGAGAUAUGGCUAAGUCUGGGAACAGUGAUUGAUCGAUGCCGAUGGCUGAUAUUGACGAUGGCUGAUACCGAUGGAAGAUGAUAUGCCGAUGAUGGUGAAAUAAGACGUAUGAGUUAUCGGGAACACAAUGGCGGUGUGUCGAUCACUCAGGAUGGAUGUAUUGUUGUGUUCCAUAAUUGAUAGAGUUUGUUUUACGUACGAGUCCUGUUUGGUUUGGAAUUAGAAUCCUAGUCGUGUCUGACUGUAACUCUUUAGGACAGAGUAUAAAUAUAGGCUUAAUAGCGAUGUAAGAGGACAAUCCAAUCAAUAUCAUACACAACUUUUACAUCUACUUUUGCAUCUACAUUUUCGAUGACUUCGUCAACUCGCAUCUUUUCUUUUGCUUAUGAGUUCUUAAGAAUUCAUCGAGUCAUACUCGACGAGUUCUCGAGUUCUGCAUGAAUACCUCUUGGCUGUGGCAUCCGGGCGCAUCGCUGUUGUCAGGAUCAAAGUAUUCGAGUUAUCACCUUUGUCAGUUGUAAGGUCAAAUCGACCGGCACGCCAUAAUGAUUGAAUCGGGUAUUAGCCCUUUGUGUUUGCAGAUCCAUUUUUGCACCAACACCUUUAAAUACAAUAAAUGAUUAGAGAGGUAAUACUAAAAACUUAGAACAUUAAAGACAAGGGUUAUCCUAUAGGGUGAUUGUUGGUGUUUACUCCUAGUGUAGGAGAGAAACAUGAUUGAUGAACAUGGAAUGGAAAAGAUUGCGAUUACUCCUAGUGUAGGAACAAUGCAUAUAUGAACUGGAGUGUGUAUGUGAUCUUGGUUUUAAAAGCAUGACAAGACUCUCGUAGGGUACACUACAAAGGUUGACUAAACUCAAUGCAAAGCAAGUAGCAUAAAUGCGCAAAAGUUUUCCUAACUCUAAAUGUGUAUUACAUAUGGCUUUGGUAGGAAAUUACUUUUUCAUACAAGAGCUCAUCAUGUAGGAUUUUGGGUUUUCAAAAUAAAUCUCCAAAACUUGUUAAUGUUAGGAAUAAGAUAAAUAGCAACUUAGACUUUCAAUGAUCAUAUCAACCAACUACCUAGACUUAGCUCAAACUUAUGCCUCCACAAGUUGCAAGUUCAGAGUAAAUCUUCAAAUUGAAACAGUAAUGUCCAAAACUCGAGAGAAUAUCAUGUUGAAAUCUAGGUACUUGUAAAGAUCUAUAACAAAGCAACUAUUCAUCCUUUCCAAGACAAAAUGUUCAUCAUUUUGUAUUUAGCUCUAGUUUAAAUUGACUCUAAAUAGACUCUAAUAUUUAACUAAUUAUAAACUCACAAAGAGACUCUAUGACUUGUGGACCUUCAAUUCAUGUGCCCACAUAUUUUUGGUAUUUUUAUAACUAUGUAGUCUCGAUAAUUGCUUAGGUAUAAUUACCUGAUAACUAGGGGAUGCUCCUCCCCCAAGCUGGAUGUUUGCAAUACUUGGUGUAGAUGUCCUUUAUAACGAGCUAACCAGUAGCGAACCCAGUGGGUGCCACUGAUAGACUCUCUCCUUGCUAUGAUGUUAUUCCUACAUAGUCAUACUCCAACAAGAAAACCAAAACUCGAGGCUUACAUUUAAUAAUGGGUUAGCGGUCAGCCAAUGAGCAAUUGAUUAUUCUUAUGAGCUAAUUUUAAUGUUGUCUAAUUUAAACAUGAUUCUUCUUUUUUUCUUCUUUUUGAAUUUUCUAUUUAUGAUGCACGAAAUAAAUAUGAAUGGCAUUUAAUUUUUUUAUGCAACCAUAGUAAAUAUCCCUAAGGGGUUACCAUAUGUUUAUUCACAUGGGGCUUUGGUUUUUUAUGAUGCAGUAAUUAAAGCAAUAAUUAUUUGUUUGUAUUUUGUAUUAAUACGCCAAUAGAAAUAAAUAUGCUACUAAAUGUAUUAAAGCAAAAUUACUAAUGCAUGCUAACUUAACUAGAUAACUACCAUUCUGACCUUGUGGCUAGGGUAUGGAAUUUAAAGUCUACCGACACGACUUAGAUAGUGGAGAGCACUUAUUCAGUGGGUUCAUUGUCUGAGGUAACCUCAGUCAACUCCCCGUCUUGCGGUGAUGCGGUACAUGCGUCUUCCUUACAUCUGGCUUCUGUCUCUUUUGCUUCUUCCUUCUCUAGUUCCAACUCUUCAUCUCUGUUCUCCUUCUCUCAUGCUUCUAAUCAGGCUAAGAUCUCCUCUUUCUCUUUCUUGGCAAUUUGGUCCAUCCUUUCAGCUUCUUCGGCCCACUCACUCCAUCGGGGUGCUUGCAUGUUCUCUUCUUGCUCCGUGAAGCAAUCUUCAUAUUUCACAAUCAUUGGCAGGAAAGUCUUCCCAUCCGCAGUGAGGCUGGUCAACUUGACGGCGGGCUUGGCGUCUCCUCCUGUUGCAUUGCUUCCUGAUCUACUCAUGGUUAACUUGUGUUCUAAAUUGACAACAUACCUUUCCAACAGGGAGGUUGAAGUGGAUAUGCCCUGAUCCGAUGUAGAUGUUGUCUUUGGCUGUAUAGAGGAACGGUCUUCCCAAGAGGAUCGGGGACUCAUAAUCUCCAUGUUAAGAACUAGAAAAUCUGUAGGUAUAUAUUGUUCUUAAAUUCUUACCAUGACAUCCUUGAUCACUCCUUUCAGGAACCUUAAUGAUUGAUCCGCCAUCUGCAAUUCAAUAUAUGUUGGAUAUAAAGGUAAAUCAAAUAAUUCAUCAUAUACCUGUUUUGACAUUAUGUUGCAGCCUGAUCCAGUGUCGCAGACGGUGUGAGGGAAGGUGGUGUCUGUGAUUGUGCAUUUAAUGAUUAGAACUCCUAGAUCACCUCUCUUGAUUGGAAAUGGCUUGGGUAGCAUAUGAUCAUUCUCUGUGUUGAGAGCGGUGAUCAAUUGAGUCGUCUCUGUAGGUGCAUGCUUGGUCCUCCUCCAUUUUCUGUUGUUUCUAUUGUACUUCUUCUUUGGCAUUGGUUGUUGUUCUUGCUCUUCUUGUUUAUGGAAUUGCUUCAAGGCUGCAAGAGCUUUGAGGACGUGGUUCUUGAAUGUGAAUAUCCCUUUCUUGUCCUUGAUGGAUAAGACAAUCUUGGCGUACUCCACAUAGAUGAUGGCUUUUGUUGUGCACAAGAAUGGUCUACCUAAAAUGAUGGGUGCCUUCUCAUCUACUCCUGUCUCCAUGACCACGAAGUCAACUAGGACAUAUGAUUGCCCCACUCUAAUGACAACUUCUUCUAGUUCUCCCUCAGGGUAGUAAAAGGACUGAUCUGCAAGCUACAAAUGCAUAUUUAUGUACAACAAGGGAUCAUUUAAUAUUUUCUCAUAAAUUACUUUGGGCAUGAUGUUGACACUUGCGCCAAAGUCAGAGAUAGCCUCUGGAAAGCUGGGGCAUCCUAUAGAGAUAUGAAUGGCAGGUCUCCCAGGGUCUCCCAUCUUCUCUGGUAGAGAGUGGUCAAUCCACUAUACAGCUGCAGGCUCAAUAUGAUAUUGGGUUGCAUUGUGAAUAGCAACAAGAUUAUCAAUUUCUAAAUCUUCUGGUUGGCCUAGAAUCUUGCCUUUUUCUAAUGGAGGAACAACAACAGUUAAUUGAGCUAAUUGUGAUUCUAGCAUUUUAUUGAAACUAUGCUGAUUCUUUAUAGCAGAAGCAAAAGUAUCCAUCGUAGUAUGUAUGUUUUCUAAAGUUUUAUCAUUUGAUGUUAGUUUCCUAGUUAUUUGAUCUAGUAGUUUGGAUUGACUAGUAACUAAUUCUCUCAAAGGUGGAAGAUUAUUAUUAAAAUUAUUACCUUAUUUGUUACCUUGGUAAUUACUUUGUCGAGGUUGUUGAUUCCAUCCUUGAUUUUGUUGAGGACGAUAGUAGGUGUUAUUGUUGAUGAAGUUCACAUCCUCUUGCAGUGUAGGGCAACUGACAGCUGAGUGGCUAUAGUCUCCACAUUCUUCACAUUUCAUAUGGGAAUCAUUGAUGUGUAUGACUUCCUUCUUCUCUAUGUCGAGCUUCUUCUUGAUGAGGUCUAGCUUGGCAGUGACCAUAUCAGCUUCCUUGAGAUGAUGGAUUCCUCCUCCUUUCUUCCGAGGCUGAGUACGUUCUUCAUUGUAUGUUGAAUUUGAGGCCAUCUUCUCAACAAGUGCUUUAGCGUCUGAGAGCUUAAGUGACAGGAAAGCUCCCCCAGCUGCAACAUCAAUAGACUCACGGGUACUAGAGAUGAGCCCAUGAUAGAAAAUCUGCAUUAACAGCCACUCCUCUAUUCCAUGAUGAGGACAGUCUUCCAUGUAAUUCUGGAAUCUUUCCCAUGCUUCAAUGAAUGAUUCAUCAUGUGGUUGUUGGAAACUUGAAAUCUUCCCAUGCAGAGCAUUAGUCUUAGCUGUAGGAAAGAAUUUUGCUAGGAAAGCAGUUGAGCAAAGUUCCUAUGUAUUAUGUUUGUCUUUAUUGGUGUAGAACCACUGCUUAGCUUUCCCCAAUAAUUAGAACAGGAAAAGACAGAGUAAGAUAACCCUUGUCUUUAAUGUUAUAGCAUAAUCAUCAAGUAUCAUAAUUAAAGAUAAUCAUCAAGUAUCAUAAUUAAAGAUAAUCAUCAAAGCAUAAUCAUCAAGUAUCAUAAUUAAAGAUAAUCAUCAAAGCAUCUACUAGUCAUAAUCAUAGUUAGCCAAUGGAUAAACUAGGGAGUUGGAUCUAAGGUAAUUCUAUAACUACGCCAAUGAAUAACUCUAAUUAGUGCAAUUACAUCUAGAAAUCAUCGUUAAGUCAACCCUAUAUCAUAAUUACAUGUAAAGAGGCAUCAACUAAUGAGGAUAUUAAGACACAAGGGUCACCUCCUUCGCGACCGCGCCCAUGCUUGUCCUACGUACGGAGGGUGGACUAUAGAGGAUCCAACGCAGUUGUCACCUACGCGGUCUACCACACGUCCCGGCAUGUCAGGGUGCACUCAUAGAUAAACAAGAUAUCUAGACACCAUGUCUACAUAUUGUCUACCAUCUACCCAACGAUCAAUUAGGUAAAUGUUAUACGAGCAAUUACAUGAAUUCAAUAAGAUCAAACCAACUAUCCUAGACAUAUAAUCAAAGUAGACAAUGACUAAUGCAAUUAAGAACAUAUGAAUUUAUUAAGAAUAAAGUCUCCCUAAUAUACAAUUGAAUACUAUAAAGUAAGAACUAGAUCUAUUACCGAACUCUUAUGCUCUAGACCGACGCUAGGGGCUCUAGAUCCCGAUGAAGAACUAGAUCUCCUCUACUUCUAAUCUAACUAACUAGAACUAUGAACUAGAAGGCUCUUGAUGAACUUGAAGGCGCUUGAUGCUUGAUGGCUUGAGGCCUUGAUGAAUAAUGAAGUGGCUGUCUCUAGGGGAGUCUACCCAUGUAUUUAUAGUCCGGUGGGAUGUGCGUGCCCCAUAGGAUCAAACCAACUUAACCAAGGGAUGAGAUGCAUCAGGAGAGGUGGUGGAGGAAGCUUCCGGAAGAGGAGGGCCAAAACCCUAAGGGGGUGCCGACUGGCGCUAGGGUGGGCCGGUCGGCCCCACCUGGCAGCCGCUAGGCCCCCCGUUGCUUCAGGUGCCUUCUCAAUCCUUGUCGAGUCUUCUCACAACGUUUCUCAUGGUGGAUAAAUUUCGUGUUUAUUUUGCACUAGAGUCCCUCUUUGCAGCUUUCCUGAAAUUCACCCUGGAAAAUACAGAAUAUACAAAACUCGUGGAAAUUGUCAGAUAAAACCCAAGACUACUGUGUUUUCAUGUUUUCCUUUAGGUCUAAAGUUAUAAUAAAAGUUGACAUUAUCGACCGUCAACAGGAAGCUGGAAUAGUCCUUGCUGAUACCCUUUAUUAACUAUGCUUUGCAACAAAUCUGCUCCAAGGGCAAUGUUGGCACACUUUAAGAAGGAGGUGGAGUUUGAAGGGUAGAGAGAGGUUUGGGCUCUUGGGAAAAUGAAACGCACUUUUUCUAUUGCGCCGGUGGAAAAUUUGGAGAAAUCAUGAGAGUGUUUUCACUAGAAAAACACGCACUGGACACUGGCCGUAGAGGCAUCGGACGCUGGCCCAGUGUCCGGUGUAUAGUGGCUGAGCAGCGCAUUGUUGAACUGCACAUUAGAGUGUCCGACGGGUGAGCGUUAGACAUGGGCUAAACACUGUUCCCGCAUCUGGUGAGUAGUGACAUCAGCGACCAAAUGAGCGAGCAACCCUAGCUAUGCGUGUCGGACGCCAAAGAGCGUCCUAUGAGGACGCAUUAGAUGUGUCUAAUGCCCGUGUGGUUUAUAGAGCUCCUUGAGUAGCGUUUGGUGCUGAGGGGCACGUCUAGUAUGUUUCACCUCACAUGUCCGACGUGUUGUCUCUGACAAUUUGAACAUUUAAGUGACCGUUGGGGAUCAACAGGUCAUAUUUGAUAGAGGACAUGUGGCGCAAUCUAAGGCACCUAUUAGGGGACUGUUGGACGCUGAGGCCACGUCCGACGCCCUACGUCGGAGCAUCUUACGCCCUCCAUUGUGAUUGUUCAUUGGAUUUCUCCUGGUGAUUGGACCUCAUAUUAUUGUGAUUGGUUUAUCCUCUCUACGUGGCAGUAUAAAGAUCAAAUCCUCUUAUUUACUUUCUUGCAAACAAACUAGAGUAGCUUACUUGUAUAGAAACUUUAGGUAGCUCUCUAGUGUAAGUAGAGACAUAGUUCUUUGUGUGCCUAGUGACAAUAGCAACUAGAAUUAUUGGUUAGGUGGCUUGCAAAUACCUCUUUAGAGCUAGAGCAAAAGGCUUUGCUUUGUUAUUUACUAACCUCUUGCUCUAGUGAGUUUCAAGAAUUCUUAAAUAGGCUAUUCACCCCCUCUAGCCAUAUUAGGACAUUUCACUCAUCAGUAGCUUAAGCUCUCUCCUUUCCCCUUCCCAUCGCCAUUCUUGUUUUAACAGUCGGUCCUCGUGCUGUGAUUUCUCACUACCAUGGAGAAGUCGGCCCCCUGGUUCAUCAUCACCAUAGAGUCAGAUGUUGCUACCGACAUCGCUAGAUUCCCCCUCCACUGCCACCAUGCCACUGCAACUGCACGCCCACACUGAUUUUGUCUUAAAGACGGCAGUAAUGCCUCGCUAGUAAGCCACCAAAGCCCCAAGGCCUCAGCUUUCUCUCCCUUCUGCUGAUCUUGUUGUUGUUCUUACUAAGGCCAGCCUUCGCACUGUUGUCUUUCACAAUCACAGGGGAACGUGACCUUGUUGCACUAUCACUGAAGCCAUGCCUAGCAAGCAGAAGCCAACCAAGAGAGGCAUCAGCAAGCCCACUAUGCCCCACUAGCAAGGUCAAAUCUUCUAGAUCCCUGUCAAUAUUGUCUUGGCGUCGAUAGAAACCUUUAUUUUGAUGUCAUCUAUCAAUGUUUGUACAUGUUGUAUGAUCAUCUAUCCUUGUUCACGUUUAUCACUUGUCUUUAUAAUGGCCAUCUAUCUAUCUAUCUAUAUGUAUCAAUGUCCAUUUAUGCCUGUGUUGUGCCUUCAUGUCGGUCUAUCCAUUUCUAUCUCUUUGGUUGCUAUGGAAAUGUGCUACUCGUGUUGUCGUUGUUCUUGUGUUAUUUGCCUGAGGACCAAGCCUUUGAGCCAAGUGGGGAACUGGUAGCACGUUUGAUCAUUUUGAUCAUGGGUUUGGCCUGCCAUGAUUGUGAUGUUGAGCAUAACUCGAUUCCCCGUGAUUAGUUGACUCUAUUGCGCUCUGGUCAUUAGCUCCUGUUCCCGUCCCUCAGACGUGGCCAUCAUGGACUCAAAGUCAUUAUCAAUGUGGUUCUUACCCGCACACUCGAGACCUAAGUGACCUAUCUAGUGGGAUACGAAUUAGGGGACAACCUUCAUGGAACCGUCGGAUGCCAACUCGUUGGGUUUAACUCAUGGCUGCUGUUGACGGUCCUUAAUUACUAAAAUAAAUAAUCAAAUAAACAUGAAAAAGGAUCAAUAUGAAACAAACAUCUAGAAUUAGGGUUUUAUCUGACAGAAUUUCACGAGUUUUGGUGUUUAUCUAUUUCUGCAGGGGUUUAUCAGAGAAUAUGGAGAGAAGGCCCACAUGUCAUGUUUACAACGAGAUAAUUACGUGCCGCGCAAUUUUCCUCAAUCUAGAAGAAUCCAGAAGCCACGGGAACGAACGAGAAGGGAUUCGGGCUCGGGGGCAGGGCGGCCGCCCACCCCCCUUGGGCGCCCACCCAAGGUAGAAGUCCAAUCAGGACUCUGCUUCGGGACUACGCUCCACCGACCUAAAGGAUCAAUCUAAACCAUACAAUCUAUGUCGGUUUGAUCCAAUGGCUCACGUUCCCUUGAGGGGACUAUAAAACCAGACCCCCUAGCCCCUGGAGGAGAAGAGGAGAAAUCAUUAUUCAGAGGUAGCCAUCAAAGUUAGGGUUUAGAGCUUCUCUCCCACAGAGAAUUAGAAUUAGCUACUCCCUAAUCCUUCAAGUUUAGAGGUUGAUUAGAUAGCAAUUAGAGAAGUAGAGCACUACGCUCUGGAUUCGGAUCUUCGGUAAUAAAGAUUGGUAUUAUUCAUAUCUUUCUCUAAUUCUAUUGUUCUAAUUGCAUUAUGUCUCUAAUUAUUAUGUUCCUAGUUUGCUCUAGUUCUAUAUUUGAUAUAGGUCUAAUUGAUAAUGAGUUUAUGUAUAAGUUUGCAAAGCGCUUAGCUCUUGACGCGAGGGAGUUAGGUGAUAGAUCACAUGUGAGCGUGGUGCUUAGAUGUUAUUUAUCUGCAAAUGUAUCCUAUUGGCCGGGUCGUGUGGUAGUUCGCGAUAGUGACAGCUUCGUUGAUUCUUAUAUAGUCCACCCUCCGUUGAUAGGACAGGCAGAACCGGUAUUGUGGAGUAAGUCAUGCGAUGCUCUGAUUUACUUUAUCAAUGUUCCUUAUACAUGAAUGAAGAGUCUUUUAUGCUAUAUAUGAUCUUGUAGAUAACUAGAGUACAUUAUGACUUAGUAGUUAGUAGAUAACUUAGAAUCCAUUCUCUAGCUAAUCCGACAUCACCUACAUAUAUGAGGAGUAGUCUAUUUUCUAAUCGCUGUGUUAUCUACCCAUGAACUUAUAAUUCAUUAUCAUUAUCUUUAUGGUUUACCCCCUGCUAAAGUAUGUGACUGUGUUACGAGUUUCUCAUUAGUAAUCAUGUUCUUGCAAGUUUAUCUCUAGUCUAUGCCUUGAUAGAUUUUGCUCUUUGAUUUAAUUUUAUCUUCUUGAGAUCCCUUGAGCAAAAUUAUAAAUAACGAUACCUGGAAUACUUAUCCUGGUGAAAUGCUACAAUGAGGUGUUUUAUCUGUGCGCUUGUGGAUAGAAUAGAUUAUUUUCUAGAGAGCCUUUACAUUUAUAAAUACCUUUGUACACUCUGGCGCCAUGCUAGGGAUGACAACCUAGUAUCUAAGUGGUGUUAGCUAGUGUCAACAAGCAUUUCUGGCGCCGUUGCCGGAUACGAGUCUCAGGAAUAAGUCAUAAAAGGGAACAAAAGGGUAAUGCCUAGGAAAGCCAGAAAAUCAGUCAAGGUUAUUCAUAUAAAAUAUUAGACUAGACUAUAGAGAAAUAAUUGCAUAAAAACAGCUACUAAGUGAGAAAUCAUAACAAGGCACCUCUGCUUUGGCAGGUUCACCCUGUUGUUUUUCUAUGUUUAUAUUUUUAUACAGGGUAUAACAGGAUUGACUUUGGGUACAUUCAACUCUUCAUCAUUAGAACCAAAGCAAUCAAGAGAAGAAGAAGCUAGCUACCAAUUGCUGAAGCUAUGGCACAAAAGACCUUGCAAGAAUUCUCUGCUCCAAGUCAUGACAACAUUCCAACCGGUCCAAGAUUUGCAGUAGAAGAAGGAAUACCCAAGUUUGAGCUCAAGUCAAGCCUCAUCAAUUUGGUGCAAGCUACACAAUUCAGUGGAAAGGCACAUGAAGAUGCUAGGGCACACUUACAGAAUUUCUUAGGGAUUGGAAGCACAAUCCACAUCAACGGAGUUGACAAAGACGUCACACUACUUCGUCUUUUUCCAUUCUCACUAGAAGGAAAAGCGAGGAAGUGGUUCUACACUCAUCAAGAUAAUAUAAACAACUGGACGAACUUGUCAGAUGCCUUUCUAUCAAAGUUUUUCCCUAUAGGCAAAACAACUGCCUUAAGAGGAAAUAUUGUCAGUUUCCAACAACAGAAGACAGAAGCCAUUUUAGAAGCAUGGGAGCAUUUUCAAGGAUACAUAUCAGAUUGUCCUCACCAUGGAAUGGCCACAUGGUUACUUAUGCAGACCUUCUACCAUGGAUUAACCCAGAAGGCUCGUGAGUGCCUAGAUGCAUCUGCUAAAGGAUCAUUCUUGGAGCUUACAACUGGAAAAGCAGAGAUACUUUUGGAUAAGAUAGCAGAAAACCAAAGCUGGUUCCAAGAUAAAGCUCAACAAUGUCAUCAAACUGAAGAAAUACCGGAAGAAGUAAAUGCAUUAUCAACUAAGAUGGAAAAUUUGCUCCAUUGGAUUGACCAGAGGGCCAAGUUCAAAGAAGAUCAAAGGGCCAUUGAGACAGCAUACAAAUAUCAACCAACUUCGAGUCAACCCAAUAGCAAAGGUAUGAAUUCAGGUAAUACUGUCAAACAACUUUCAUUAAAAGAGAUAAUUGCUUAACAAACCAAAAUUAAUGAUGAAGUUAAACAAAGGCUAGAUACAAAUGAAUCAUCUCUAAAAGAUACAUACAAUAAAAUGGAUUUUCUACUAACUGCCUUUGAUGAGCAAAACACUCUUAAUAAAAGGGUAGAGCUUAAAUUAAUAAAAUUAGCUGCUGCACUGCCUGUUGCUACUAACCUUGAGUAGGUAAAGAAUAUAACUACUAGAGGAGGCAAAGCUACCAGAGAUCCACUAUACCCAAAAGAGAAACAAAGAACAUUAGCACCAGUGCAACCAGCAGUGAUAGAAGAAGAAAGCCCAGUUGGAGCAGAAGAUCUGCCACAACCACCAAGAACUGGAGAAAUGAGGAAAGAUUUUUACAACACCAACUAUUUGCCAUUUCCCAGAAGAAACAGAGGACUGCAGUCGGAUGAGCAGUUUGGUAAGUUUGUAGAGGUCAUUCAGAAAUUAUAUGUCAACAUACCUCUGCUCGAUGCCAUACAUGUACCUACAUAUGCAAAGUACAUCAGAGAUAUUCUUAACAAGAAGAGGCCACUGCCCACCACUGAGGUUAUCAAGCUGACAGAAGAAUGUAGUGCGGCCAUCCUCAAUAAACCACCAAAGAAGAAGGAAGAUCCUGGAUGUCCCACUAUUGAUUGCUCGAUCGGAAACCAACACUUCAACAAUGCACUUUGUGAUCUCGGAGCAAGUGUCAGUGUGAUGCCAGCAUCAGUCUACAAAAAGCUUGAUCAUGCAGCUUUAGAACCAACAUCAAUGUGUCUACAACUAGCGGAUCAAUCGGUUCGACACCCGUUGGGCAUCGCCGAGAACAUUCCAGUCAAUAUCAGAGAUUUCCUUGUGCCAGUAGACUUCGUAGUACUGGACAUGAGUCCUGACUCAAAAGUGUCCAUCAUCCUUGGAAGGCCAUUUCUGAGCACUGCCAAUGCCCACAUUGAUGUCGGGAAGGGAGAAAUCAAGUUCAACAUAAACGGUCAAGAAGAACACUUCACAUUCAAACCCAGACCAGAGAAAGACUCUACAGUGAAGGAAGUUCAUAAAGAACCACUGGAGACACCAUCUCCAGAGGAAGGUAACUCAGAAGAUUAAAAGAUUUGGAGGUCCAGCUUGGGGGACCCAAAAAUCCCAAACCCUCACCGGGAGGUAAAUCGGUAAUUAUCCGCAUUAUUAAUUUUCUCAUAUUUAAAUUCUUGCAUAAUUAAAUCUUGCAUUAGUCAUAUUUAUUCAUAGCAUUAUUAUAAUAAUGAAAAGCCCCAUAUAAAUAAUAUUCAUGGUGUGUAACAACCCAUAUUUAUUAAUUAUUGUGGAGGCACAAAAAUAUUUUCCAUUAUCAUUUUAAUUAAGUUUUAAUAGAGUUUCCUGCAUUAUAUUUAAUUAUAUUAAUCUUCUAGAAGCAUGACCCACACUCCUUGGGUCCCACAUGUCAUACACCACACCUCACAUACAUCCCAUCACAUAAUUUCUGUGGGGGUAUAAACCCCUAUACCCUCAUGGGCCUAUAUGGGCCGCACCAUCAGAGGUGGCUCGGCCCACAAGAUGAAGACGUGCGGCGCACGACUAGUCGACGUGCACCGCAAGGCUACAAGAUUUUAUACCAAAUAGGAUACUUUGCUUGUAACUCUGUCCCUUCAGGAUAUAUAAGGAGAGGCAGGGGUCCCCUAGAGGACAGAUCAUACAUCAUAUUCUCUCAGCACAAAUCAAUACAACCAGACGCAGGACGUAGGUAUUACGCCAACUCGGCGGCCGAACCUGGAUAAAAAGCUUGUCCGUGUCUUGCGUCACCAUCGCGUUCGUAGUUUGCACACCGUCUACCGAUAAACUACUACCGUGGGUAUACCCCAAGGUAGACUGCCGACUAGCUUUCGUCGACAGUGGCGCGCCAGGUAGGGGGUGUGCGUACAACUUCUCCGACGAACGAGAUGGUCAUCAUCCCCGACUUCGUGGCCAUGGCGGGCGACUUCACGUUCACCGUCAGCUUCAACAGCUUCACCGCCAUGACCGCGGAGGAGGUGUAGAUCCGAUCUGUGCCAACCACUUCUUCAUCGACGUCGGCGGCGGCUUCAACCACGCUGGCUACGACUCCAACUACUCCAGCAACGUCUCCGACCACGCCGACAACGCGUCACCUGCUUCCCUGCUACAAAGGAAGGCAGAUCGACGACAUCGACCUGCUCGGGCUAUCGACCAAGUUUUUUGGCCUACUUGCUCUGACCACCUGUCGCAAUAAUAAUCGCCGCGAAGAACGGCGCUACGACAGCCGCGACCACCAUCACGACAACAAGUCAAGCAACUCUCCCGACCAGACUUUCGUCCAAAGAUAAGUACAAUUCUAAUAUUUUAUUUAUUUUUGGCAUAAUAUUUUUAAGAUUAUUAUUCUUAACAACUUUUUAGCCGACUAGUUUUUUCUCCUACACGAGCUUUCCAGAGCCGGUACUGUCUCCGACUCCUCCCUACACGUGCACGAGAUCCGCCCUCUGCGUUCCGGGUGGUCGGCAGUAGCUCUCUGACGUGGCUGACAAUCCUACGCGUGCCUAGGUUCCGCACCUCAUGCUGAUUGUUGGCUAGAUCAGAGCUGGUACAAGCUCUAGGAUGAAUUAACUACUCGUGCUAAUUUUAUAACAAAAAAUCUAAAACUUAUCUUAGUACUGAUUUUUUAUCUAGAGUUUAUUUAUACAUCAUAUACUACCUAUUCUUUAUAUUUAUUUUUCAGAAGUUUGGCCCAGUCGACAAGCUACGCUUGGAGACUCGUCGACUAUUCCCUACGCUGUGUCCGGGGACUGCUCCGACCACCGAGCACGUUUACGUUCCCAACCACGCUCGAAGACUUGUCGACUACUCUCUAUGCUGUGCUCGAAGACUGUGCCGACCACCGAGCACGUUUACGUUCCCAACCACGCUCGGGGACUUGUCCACCGGUCCCUACGCCGUGCUCGGGGACUGUGCCGACCACCGAGCACUAUACGCUCGGCGACUGUUCGAUCAGCUCACCAAUUUGAGAGUUUUUGGACUGUACCGACCACCGAGCACUACACGCUCGGGGACUGGUCGACCAGCCCACCAAUUUGAGAAUUCGGGGACUGUACCGACCACCGAGCGUUAUAUACUCGGGGACUGGUCGAUUAGUCUAUUCAAUUGCAGACGGACUGGUAAAUUCAAUUUUUUAGACCUUGCUACAAGGCUCAUACUUCGCCUUCCAGCAAGCUCGGGGACUACAUCGGUACGAUGCAUCUGGCGAUGCAUCUCAGUUUCAGAAUUUCUUUGAGGACUUUUCUUUUGACCCUGGCACCACGUGCCUACGUCACCUACUACUAGGCUCGGGGACUAAGUGGGCACACUUCGCCUUGCGGUGAAUAUGCUUGCUUUUUUGAGGACUAUACUUUUCAGAAAAGUAAAGUGGACACACUUCACCAGGAAAGAAAUUUUUUUUAAUUUAGAGCACCAUGCAUUCUUCAAACAACCUGCUUCUUCGAUGUCAAUGUUGAUCAACUGUCUUGGUCAAAAUACCGUUGCAACUGUUUGGGCGACUUUCCUGCUUAUUGAAGACGUCAAGCCUCACUGAUCGAAGAAGCUCAAGAUGGCGUGUUACAUCAUAAUACAUGGUGCUCGGGGACUAGCUGUGGGGGUAUAAACCCCUAUACCCUCAUGGGCCUAUAUGGGCCGCACCAUCAGAGGUGGCUCGGCCCACAAGAUGAAGACGUGCGGCGCACGACUAGUCGACGUGCACCGCAAGGCUACAAGAUUUUAUACCAAAUAGGAUACUUUGCUUGUAACUCUGUCCCUUCAGGAUAUAUAAGGAGAGGCAGGGGUCCCCUAGAGGACAGAUCAUACAUCAUAUUCUCUCAGCACAAAUCAAUACAACCAGACGCAGGACGUAGGUAUUACGCCAACUCGGCGGCCGAACCUGGAUAAAAAGCUUGUCCGUGUCUUGCGUCACCAUCGCGUUCGUAGUUUGCGCACCGUCUACCGAUAAACUACUACCGUGGGUAUACCCCAAGGUAGACUGCCGACUAGCUUUCGUCGACAAUUUCAUCCACCAAUAUGUUUCCACUCACGUGACAUCUUUCCACCGACCAACCACCACCAACACAACAUUAUUCUGCGUGAGAUCAAAGCAAGGAAGCAAGUGGAGGAGGCACACUCAGGAUGGACACCAGGAGUGGGUGCCCACCUACCUACCAAGGGCGCCCGCCCUGCUCCCUCUUCCUCCUAUAAAUAGCCACCUUCUACCUCCAUCUUCUUCACACAAGCACUCCAGAAAACCACACAAGUAUCAGUUUCCCGAGAAGGAGUUCUUGUAGUGAAGAGAGAAGAGAGUAGAAAGAAAGAGAAGAGUGGGAAAGAAGUUGAUAGAGAGUGAGUGUCACCUAGUAAGUAGUUGUCUAAACAGAAGUAAAAGUUGUUUAGGGGGAGGCUCUACCAAAAUAGAAAUUUGUCUUGAACGAUUAACCCCUAGACUACUGACACUCCGGACAGCUGACCACUAACAUUUUCUCUCACAAUUUUCCACUAGUUGUGUUUUUUUUCCAACUUUUGUUUGCAGGAUGUUUAAGAAGGUGAAGAAUGCAGGAAAGGCUAUCAAGAACCUUGGUACAAGGAGUUCAUCCCGACACUCCUCACAGCCAUCAGAGAUGAGCGUCGACCCGACACCCACACAAGCUCCAUCAUCUUCAUCAGGUCAGCAAGUUAAGGUCCUUCUCAAGAUAGGAGACCUUGGACUGAAGACUCGAAGAGAGAAGGAAGUCUAUCAGCAGUUGAAGAACAAAGAUUUCAUUCACACUCCUACUAUCGAUCCAAUCUUACUACAAGAAACAGGUAUGGACAUUGAAUUUGACUUAAUUUUCCAGAUGUUAGGUUGGAUAAAUUUUUGGAAUAUAACUGAGCUGGGUUCUCAUCUUCUCACCCUCGAAUUUCUUUGCACUUUACAAUACUAUGAGGGGGGAAUUGUUUUUCGGAUGUUCAAACAGGAAAUUAUGUUGUCUUGGAGAGAGCUGAGCGACCAUCUUGGUUUCUCUUCAAGAUGCAUCCUGAACAUUGACUCCGAUUUACCCAAUUUUGAGAGACAUCAGUUUUGGAGAGAAAUAUCUAGAGAUAAUUUUUAUAGUCAAGCCCGAACUAGUGACAUGGAACACCCCACUCUUAGGAUGUUCCACAAAUGGCUUGGGUACAAUCUUUUCUAUCGUGAUGAUAUUAGGAAAGUAAGAGUAGGAGAUUUACAACUUUUAUAUGCUGCUAUUAGUAAAGUACCUACUUCACCUGUUACACUAUUAGUUUCACAUUGGCUUAGUAUACCUAGUCUUCAGGGACCAGUAGGAUGUACUUCACUUAUCACUCGUCUAGCUUCUAAUCUUCACUUACUAGAAAACUCGUCAUUGGACUUCAUAGAUGAGUUAAGAAUUUAUCAUGGCUAUGACACAUUUAGACAAGCUUGGAUGUUAAAGAAAGAAGGAAAUAUAAUGUAUAUGCUAUAUGAUGAUAGAGGCAAGAUUCGGUUACCUAACCCGAACCUUGGCCUCUACGUUGUGCAAAACUUUUUGAUUGAGAUUACAGCAACACCAGUGAACCAGAGAACUCCACAGCGAGUGGCUUCCGAAAGGAUAACCACUCACCGAGAACGCACCUAGUAUGGAACUGACCCCGGACCAGAAGAAGCAGCGCACCUGCAUUAUUGCGAUUACAACCCCCGAGUCCUUCGAGACCCAUGGGUUCGACAUGCGCAACCACAAGAGCCAACAGAGGAGACAUGGCCGGAGAGCCAAGAUCACCAGUGGACAAACCCGCCUUUCCAUACGAGAAGGUACUCCACUGAUCCAUACGGAGCUUCAGGAUCCAGACCUCCGCCCCAAUUUGAUGCAGGACGAUACUCCGACGCCUCCUACGCUUUCACGAAUGACUACUAUCAAGAGGCCGGUGCUUUCUUCACUCGUACCGACAACACCCUCCUCGACAUCCAGAACACGCAAGCAGAACAUGGAAGACUCUUGGAAGAACAACAAAAAUGGAACCAGGACCACGCAGCUGCAGUAGAAGAGCUGAGACAAGAUACAACAACAAUGAACGACAACAUUACAACCAUGAUGCGGUUCUGGAACAUCGGGUAAGACUGACGGCAACAUCCAGCUUGGGGGAGUUCCUCCCAAAUUUAUCAAGUAAGUUUUUAUUUGCUCUUCUUAUUUAUUCUAUUCUGUCUUAGUAUUUAAUUUAUCUUAAAAGGAAAAACUUAGAAAACCAAAUAAAUAUUUUCUUGCUUUAAUUCACUGCACUUUAAUAAACAUGAAAACAAAAUAAAAAUAGUGUGUAGAUAAGUGUGCUUUAUUUUCCUGCUAAGUUUAAUCUCUAGAAAAAUAAAAAGACUAAAAAGAUGCAUGAUAGAAAUGAUGAACAAGUUGCUCUGUUUGCUUACUUACAAGUACCUAGCUUUUAUAUUAGAGAUCUUCCAGGAAUUACUAAAACUAAAAUUACUAUCUUUGGGAAGCAUAAAACUAAAGUCUAGGUAAGAGAAAUGCAUGAUAUAAAGUUGAGCUACUAUUUAUCUUGUUCCUACUACACUAAGUUUUGGAGAUUUAUUUUAAAAACUUACAAAUCACAUGAUGAGUUCCUAGCAUAACAAAACUACCUACCACAGCCAUAUUUGCUAUAACAUCUUUUACUAUAUUCACAUUGAGUUUGAUCGAGCUGUGUAGACCCUUAGGAGCUUUUCAUGUGGUUAAAUUAAGAUAUUCACUUGCACACAUCUACCACAGCAUCCAUCACCAAUCAUUAAAAUUGCUAAAAAUAUUAUCACUCACUGUCCCGAAUAUUGUUAUUCUCUCUCUAAAAAGAUUCAAUGCAGAAGAGGCAUGGGUUAUGCAAAAAUAUGCGAGGAAAUAAAAAGGGGCAAGUGCCUGGAACCUCGAUAAAGAAAGAAAAAAAAGUGAGACGAGAGAUAAAAAUGGACAAGUGUCCGAAGUAAAAUUAGGGGUACAAAGAUGCCCACUUGAGUGGAAAAAAUGGACAAGUGUCCGACAGUAGAAUUAGGGGUAUCUACUACCCACCUGAAAAAAAAGAGAAAACAAAGAAAGAAAAGAUAGCCCAUGUUUCCCAAAAGCAAAGAUCAAAGAAGAGGAGAGAUAGCAAUAUGAGGAGCAAUGAGAACUAAGUUUUAUUAACACUUAUACAUUUUCACCAUCACUAUCGUUUACUCCACCACACAUGCACAUCUUGAUUUAAUUAUAUGCUGAGUUCCUUUUGGAUCCAUGGCUCGAUUAGACAAUAUAUGUAUGAGCUGUUUUUUUUACUCCUAUGAGCUCCACUUAAAUAUUCCAUUAGCUAUAGGUAAGUGACAUUAUGGUAAGGAUCCACAAAUACCACAUAUAGAGAGACUUGAGAGAAUCAUUGCUGGGAACUCUGAGUUUUAUUUUGAAAACUUAUGAAAAACUCUGGAACAAAGGUGAAGUAUAAACAGGAGGGAUAGUGCUUGACUUAACUAUUUUGUCUUUCGAUUACUUAAGACUUAAGUGCAGGUUCUAAACUCCAUAACACUUCACUCUAAUCUGGAAGAAUUUUAUGUAAAAGCAUGUGUGCCUGUCAGGAAAGAAAACAUCGAAGCAACUCCUGAUCCGUCUGAGUUUAGCUGUUUGCUCAGGGACGAGCAAAGGGUAAGCUUGGGGGAGUUUGUUGACGGUCCUUAAGUACUAAAAUUAAUAAUCAAAUAAACAUGAAAAAGGAUCAAUAUGAAACAAACAUCUAGAAUUAGGGUUUUAUCUGACAGAAUUCCACGAGUUUUGGUGUUUAUCUAUUUCUGCAGGGGUUUAUCAGAGAAUAUGGAGAGAAGGCCCACAUGUCAUGUUUACAAUGACAUAAUUACGUGCCGCACAAUUUUCCUCAAUCAAGAAGAAUCCAGAAGCCACGGGAACGAACGAGAAGGGAUUCGGGCUCGGGGGCAGGGCGGCCGCCCACCCCCCUUGGGCGCCCGCCCAGGGUAGAAGUCCAAUCAGGACUCUGCUUCGGGACUACGCUCCACCGACCUAAAGGAUCAAUCUAAACCAUACAAUCUAUGUCGAUUUGAUCCAAUGGCUCACGUUCACUUGAGGGGACUAUAAAACCAGACCCCCUAGCCCCUGGAGGAGAAGAGAAGAAAUCAUUAUUCAGAGGUAGCCAUCAAAGUUAGGGUUUAGAGCUUCUCUCCCACAGAGAAUUAGAAUUAGCUACUCCCUAAUCCUUCAAGUUUAGAGGUUGAUUAGAUAGCAAUUAGAGAAGUAGAGCACUACGCUCUGGAUUCGGAUCUUCGGUAAUAAAGAUUGGUAUUAUUCAUAUCUUUCUCUAGUUCUAUUGUUCUAAUUGCAUUAUGUCUCUAAUUAUUAUGUUCUUAGUUUGCGCUAGUUCUAUAUUUGAUAUAGUUCUAAUUGAUAAUAAGUUUAUGUAUAAGUUUGCAAAGCGCUUAGCUCUUGACGCGAGGGAGUUAGGUGAUAGAUCACAUGUGAGCAUGGUGCUUAGAUGUUAUUUAUCUGCAAAUGUAUCCUAUUGGCCGGGUCGUGUGGUAGUUCGCGAUAGUGACAGCUUCGUUGAUUCUUAUAUAGUCCACCCUCCGUUGAUAGGACAGGCAGAACCGGUAUUGUGGAGUAAGUCAUGCGAUGCUCUGAUUUACUUUAUCAAUGUUCCUUAUACAUGAAUGAAGAGUCUUUUAUGCUAUAUAUGAUCUUGUAGAUAACUAGAGUAGAUUAUGACUUAGUAGUUAGUAGAUAACUUAGAAUCCAUUCUCUAGCUAAUCCGACAUCACCUACAUAUAUGAGGAGUAGUCUAUUUUCUAAUUGCUGUGUUAUCUACCCAUGAACUUAUAAUUCAUUAUCAUUAUCUUUAUGGUUUACCCCCUGCUAAAGUAUGUGACUGUGUGACGAGUUUCUCAUUAGUAAUCAUGUUCUUGCAAGUUUAUCUCUAGUCUAUGCCUUGAUAGAUUUUGCCCUUUGAUUUAAUUUCAUCUUCUUGAGAUCCCUUGAGCAAAAUUCUAAAUAACGAUACCUGGAAUACUUAUCCUGGUGAAAUGCUACAAUGAGGUGUUUUAUCUGUGCGCUUGCAGAUAGAAUAGAUUAUUUUCUAGAGAGCCUUUACAUUUAUAAAUACCUUUGUACACUCUGGCGCCAUGCUAGGGAUGACAACCUAGUAUCUAAGUGGUGUUAGCUAGUGUCAACAGCUGCAAGCCCCAUGGUCAUCGGGCUUAACCCAUUUUCUCAUAUGUUUAUCCUAACCACCUCAUAUACUUGUACCACUUCAACCAUAGCAUUCCCUCAGACCUAGCGGUGACAACUGCAUUGCUAUGAGCCUUAGGAAUAGCCUUGUGCUGAUUUAGUUGCACAGUCAUGGUGCCCUACGAGUAGGAUUAGAUCAUAGAAUCAAAUCUCUUUUAUCCAACCGUCAUUCAUUCCAUGAUGGGUUGGUCGAAAGAGUAUGGACUCCAUUCUUCUUCUCUCUUGUUCUCAAUCCCCAUCGAUACAGUAAGAUGUGGGUUGAGCCCCUUUUGCUUGUUUGGUGUUUUGUUUCCAAUCCUACGAUUCCCAUUGUUGCUCUAGCGAGUCGAUCAAUGGAAAGUGAAACUUGUGUCUUCCCCGCCUUUGUGGUUCUUCAUACUUAAACUCUUGUAUGCUUGUACCUAAUCGACCGUAGCAUUUCUUUGGUUCUCAUGGUGACAACCGUACCACUAAGAACCCUAGUGAUGUCUUAGUGCAUUCGGUGCACCCAGGUCGUGGUACCCUACAAGUAGCUUGAGCACUCAUGUUCCUUUUGUGUCACCCUUUCUAAUUCUCCAUCUCUUACCAUGGUGAGUGGAUUGGAAGGACUAGACAACUCUUCCUCUUCUUUCUCUCUUUCAUUUCACCCUUUCUUCACUCUCGUCAAUCAUAAUGGCGUAUGGGUUGAGAGAGAUUGGAGUUUCUCGUGCUUUGCAGUCAUUUUGGUUCUCAUCGAUCUCUAUGAUGCUUGGAUUGAAAGUCCAUAAGCUAUGGUGUUUACUUAGGAUGAGUUAGAUUCUAUGCCAUUGUUACUAAAGCCAUACAGGUUGACAUGAUUGACUCAAAAAGUAUCAGCUAGGCUAAGACUCCAGCAUGUACAUAGUAAACAACCACUCCUGCUUCUUUUAGCCCAGGGAUCGGACAUCCACCGAGAGGGCUAAGUUGUUUCCCCUUUUGUGCUAUUUUAGUGUAGUUGUUCUUUAGUGUUCUGUCACCUCUUUUUGUAGUCUUUCUAGGUCUAGUGGUCUGAUUGUUUCCCUUGUUUAUCGCUUUUGAGGUAGUUGCUUCAGAGUUAGCGUUGAUCGGAUCGAAACUUGUUGAAGGAAGGACAUGCGAAUGGAAGGACCUCAGAUGAGAAUGACUAUAAGUGCACUGAGGAUCUUAGAAGUGUUUCUCAAUAGGUGCCAUGUCCCACCCAACCUCGUAGAACCCUAUUAGACAUGCAAAUAUAGAUGUUAGUGCUUAAUUUUAUGCAAAUGAACUGUGAUAGGUUGCAUGGUAGUUUUGCUUAUGAGCCAUUACCUUGUCGCAACCUACAACCCUUGCACACCCACUGUUAGGUUAGAUGUUGCAUACUAUUUGUUGUUCCUUCUACUACGCAUUAUAUCUAUGAUGUGAUGCAUUGUGGAGGAUUGGAUGUGGGUGGAUAAGGCACGUGGUGCUAAUAACUAGAUAAGGAAUUAAUAAUAGACUUGGGGAGAUAUUGGCGUGUGUAUUGGGUGUGUGGUGAGGGUCGGGUCAACCGAGCAAGAUCUACGAUGAGUCUUGUGACAAGUCUUGCUAGGGGACGCUACCUAGGUGUUCUCCAUGAGAGAUAACUGUGGCAGGUACAUGUGAUAGGGAGAGGUCCUGGAGUGGAGAGUCUUUGUGGGACAAAGCGCUAGGAUGGGAGGUGCUAUUUAGCACAGGGUAAUUAAAUGUCCCAUCGAAAGAGGCAUCAGAUGGCCCCUCAUGAUGACAUCUGAAAGCCCUAGUUUGGUUUUGGAUAAUUGAUGAAACCCAAAGUACUAACCUCUAUGCUAAGUGUGUGUCGAUUUGAUGAGGUUGGUACAUGCCAAGUGAUGGAGCAAGAGAUGAUCAUAGUAUUGAUGGUGAUGACCACAAGAUGAUCAAGUGCUCAACAUGGAAAAGAACAAAGAGAAAAACAAAACCCUAUGGAUAUCAAGGCAAAGGUAUUGCUCAGGGUAUUGUUUUGGUGAUCAAGACACCAUAGAGGGUGUGAUCACGAUUAGGAUAGAUAGUCAUACUAUAAAGAGGGGAAUUCUUUGGCUAAACGGUUAUCAAGUGCCACUAGAUGUCAUUGUUCAUGUGCAUGCAUUUUGAACCUAGUGAGCUAACUUAACUCCUUUGAAGAAAAUGAUUUGUGAAAAUGCUAACACACUUACACAUGUUGGUACACACAUGGUGGUGUUGGCACACUUUAAGAAGGAGGUGGAGUUUCAAAGGUAGAGAAAGAUUUGGGUUUCUUUCUCCCUCUACCAAGCUUGCGAGGCAGGAUUCAACGCUUUUGAGAAAAUGAAAUGCAUAUUUUCUAUUGCACCGGUGGAAAAUUUAGAGAAGUCACGGGAGUUUUUUUAGAAAAACACUCAUCAAUCACUAGACUCAGCAAGCAUCGGACAGUGGCCCAGCGUCUGGUGUACUCACCAUUUAUGGCGCGGGUAAAAACUGUGUGUUGGACUGUUCGACGGGUGAGCGUCGGAUGUGGCUCUGACACUGUUCCCGCAUCUGAUGGAGUGUGACGUCAGGAACUAUGCGAUCGAGUCUCUAUGACUGUGAACAUCGGACACUAGGGAGCAUCCGGUGAGGACGCGUCAGACGCAUCUGAUGCCCUUGCACGUUUGCAAUGUUCCCAGAGUUGCGUCUGAUACUAAGGGGCACGUCCGGUGUGUUGCACCUGAUGCGUCUGAUGUGUUGUGUCUGAGAAUUUGAAUGUUUAGUUGACCGUUGGAGAUCAAUGGGUCACAUUUGACUGAGGACACAUGGCUGUCAUCUUAGCAUCAAACGUUGGGUUUCAGCAUUUGAUGGCUAACCGUCAGAGCAUCCAACGCCCCGAUCCGGGCAAGUUCCGAGAGGCUAACGGCUCUAUUUGUUAAGGGAGCUUAUAAAUAGUUGUUGGCCAGCUUGGGGCUCACUCUUUUGGUAUUCUAGCAUACUUGACAUCAUUGUGAGCCUAAGCAAACACCUUUCACUCAUCUCCUACAUAGAUUAACCAUCUUUGUGAGAUUGGGAGUGAUUCUAAGUGUAUUUGCUUGAGUGAUUGCAUCUAGUGGCACUUGGGAAUCAAUUUAGCUAUGGUUUUCUUAUUACUCUUGGUAGUUGCCACCACCUAGAUGGCUUGGAGCAGUGGAGGAGUAUUGGCACAAGUUGGUGAUUGUUCAUGGCCAUUCCCUGGUGAUUGUAAGGGGUUUUGUAUCUUCUUCGGUGGAGAGCCAAAAGGUAACUCUAGUGGAUUGUUCGUGUCAUUGAGAUACCUCUCUUGUGGGUAGGUUCUUGUGGUGUCCUAGUGAGGACGAGGUUUGUGCUAUACCUCUUAGCCGCUGAACCACCAAGUGUUGGUUGACACAACAGGGACAUAGCAUGCUGGCAAGCAUGUGAACCUCGAGAGAAAAUUGUGUGUCUCCAUUGUGAUUGUUCAUUGGAUUUCUCGCGGUGAUUGGAUUUCAUAUUAUUGUGUUUGGUUUAUCCCCUCUAUGCGGUGGUAUAAAGAUAAAACCCUCUCUUUUACAUUCCCACAAACUAGAGUAGCUUACUUACUUGUAUAGAAACUUUAGGUAGCUCUCUAGUGUAAGUAGAGACAUAGUUCUUAUGUGCCUAGUGAUUAUAGCAACUAGAAUUGUUGAUUAGGUGGCUUGCAAACAUCCCAUUAGAGCGAGAGCAAAAAUAUAUGCUUUGUUAUUUACUAACCUUUUACUCUAGUGAGUUUGUAGAAUUUUUUAGGCUAUUCACCCCCUGUAGCCAUGACCUUUCAAGUGGUAUCGGAGCUGUGGUCACUAUUUUGUAAAGGCUUAACAACCUCAGUACUCAAAUUAUGGCUCAAAUAGUGUUCAACCAUAUUGGGGGCAAGCCGCCAUUCUUUGAUGGCACAAGUUCCUUUGACUAUUGGAAGAGAAAAAUGAAAAUGUACCUUUGAUCAAUCAAUGAUAGAGUGUGGGAAGUCAUGGAGAAUGAUUUUGUGAUCCUUGAUCCUGCCAACCCCACCGACAAUAAGAGAGCCAACAAACAAUGCAAUACCAUGGCACUCAACACAAUCUAUAAUGGCAUUGAUGCAAAGGUGUUUGAACAAGUCAAAGAUCUUAAAGAGGCUAGUGAAGUGUGGACAAGACUAGAGGAAACAUAUGAGGGUACUACAAUGGUAAAAAGUGCCAUGUUAUACAAGCUCAAGGACAAGCUAUCCAACUUCAAGAUGAAGGAUGAUGAGUCAAUCUCAAAGAUGUUCUAUAGGCUCCAAGUAAUCAUUAAUGCUCUCAAAGGCCUUGGUGAGAAAGUAAAGGAUGAGGACUCCAUUCACAAGUUAUUAAUGUACUUGCCCAAGAGGUUCAAGACAUUGAGAACCAUCAUAUUUAGAGGAGGAUUGAAGGAUGUAUCUCCUAAUGAGGUACUUAGAGAUGUCAUGAUCAAAGAUCAAUACAAUGACAAUGAUGAUGAUGAGGUUGUGAAGAAAGAUAAUAAUGACAACAAGAAGAAGAUGAGUGUUGCAUUCAAAGCUAGCUCUUCAUCCAAGAGCAAGAACAAGGGUAAAGCUAAGAAGGAAGAAUCAAGUGAUGCGGAAUGCUCCAAUGAUGAUAGUGAUGAUGAAGCACUAGCACUCUUUGUUCACAAGUUUGGCAAGAAGGUGAAGAAGAAAGGCUAUCAUACAAGGAAGAGAAGAGAUCAUUUCAAGAACAAGGAGUAUGUGAGGCUAUGCUAUAAAUGCAAAAGCCCCAAUCAUGUUGUAGCGGAGUGUCCCUACAAUAGCGAGAAUGAUGGGCAUGAGAAGAAGAACAAGGAAGAGAAGAAAAAACAAAAGAGAAGAAGAUGGUCUUCAAGAAGAAGAAGAAGGGUGGAUCCUAUGUUGUGACAUGGUAUAGUGAUGCUUCUUUGGAUGAUGAUUUUAGUGAUGAUGACAAGGCAUCCAAGAAGAAGAAAGCUCUUGCAAGCAUUGCUAUCAACAAGCCAUUAUUCUUUGACACUCCUUCAUGCUUCAUAGUCAAGGGCCACAAGAUAUAAUAUGAUGAGAGUGAAAGUGAAAAUGAGAAUGAACAUGAUAGUGAUAAUGAAAAUGAAUUCACUAAUGACCAAUUCAUGGACAUGGUCAAGCAAGGCGAUUCUCUUAUUCAUUCUAAAAACAAGAAGUGCAAAGAAUUGGCCAAGAAAUUAAAAGCUUUUGAACAAUCCUUUAAUGAGCUCAAUGCUAAUUAUGAGAGACUAGUGGAUGCCCAUAAAAAGCUAAGCAAGGCUCACACAAAGCUUGAAAAAACUCACUCCUUGUUGUUAGAUGAGAACAAGGAAAAGGUUGUUGUGUCAUGUGAUGUGAGCACAAAAUGUGAUUUAAUUAAGGAAUCACUCAACCCACCUAUUGUUGUUGCCACUAACUCUUCUUGUAGGUAUUCAUCCAUCACCUCCAACUCUACCUCUACUUCUACUGUCGGUGUCACUUGUGAUGCUUCACUAAAGGUUGAGAAUGAGACUCUCAAGAAAGAGGUGAAUGAGCUCACUCACACCCUAGGCAAGGCCUAUGGUAGUGAGCCGGCUUGCUAAAGUGCUUAGGUAUCCAAAGGUUUUCUCUUAACAAAGACGGAUUAGACUACACCCCCAAGAAAGGCAAGACGACCUUUGCAACUCACAAGCCUAGUUUUGUGAAAAGCAAUGGUCGUUAUUGCAAUAGAUACAAGCAAGUUAGGCACCUAGAGCUUAAUUGCAAUAAAAUGAACAAGAAUAAGAAAAAUGCCAAUGUACCUUACAUUCCUUUUGAUUCUUGUUAUGUUCUUACUAAGGGUGAGAAGGGUGUGCAUGCUAAUUUUGUUGGUACACCAAUUAUGGGUUCAAAGAAGAAGGCCAUUUGGGUACUAAAAAGCUUAGUCACUAACCUCUAAGGACCCAAACAAGUAUGGGUACCUAAGAAACAUUAAUUUGUUUUAUAGGUAAACCAUAAAGCCGGACGAAGGCAUUGGAUGCUUGAUAGUGGGUGCACACAACACAUGACUGGUGAUUCAAGAAUGUUCAAUUCAAUCAAAACAAAUGGUGACAAUAGUGUUGAUAGUAUCACAUUUGGUGACAAUGGCAAAGGCAAGGUCAAAGGGCUUUGGAAAAUUGCUAUAUCCAAUGAUUUGAGCAUUUCCAAUGUGCUGCUAGUAGAAACCUUGAACUUCCACUUGCUAUCCGUAGCUCAACUUUGUGAUCUUGGUUUCAAGUGCAUAUUUGGAAUUGAUGAUGUAGAGAUCAUAAGUGUAGAUGGCUCUAACUUGAUCUUCAAAGGCUUUAGAUAUGAGAAUCUAUACUUAGUUGAUUUCAAUACUAGUGAAGCUCCAUUGUCAACAAGCUUGCUUACUAAAUCUAGCAUGGGUUGGUUAUGGUAUAGAAGGCUUGGUCAUAUUGGAAUGAAAGAAUUGAACAAGUUAGUCAAGCAUGAUAUAGUUAGAGGCCUAAAUGAUGUCACAUUUGAGAAAGAUAAGCUUUGUAGUGCAUGUCAAGCUGGAAAGCAAGUUGGCAACACUCAUCCAAAGAAAAGUAUCAUGAGUACAUGUAAGGCAUUUGAGUUGUUGCACAUGGACUUAUUUGGACCAACCACAUACACAAGCAUUGGUGGAAAUAAAUAUAGAUUUGUGAUAGUGGAUGAUUUCACAAGAUACACAUAGGUAUUCUUUCUUAGUGAAAAAAGUGACACUUUUGCAACCUUCAAAUCAUUUGUCAAGAGAAUACACAAUGGAUUUAAAACAACCAUAAAUAAAGUGAGAAGUGCCAACGGAAGUGAACUCAAGAAUACAAGAGUUGAUGAGCUUUGUGAUGAAUUUGGUAUUAGGCAUCAAUUCUCAGCCAAGUAUACUCCACAAUCAAAUGGUCUUGUUGAGAGGAAGAAUAGAACAUUGAUUGACAUGGCAAGAUCAAUGUCGAGUGAGUACAAUGUGAGUCAUUCAUUUUUGGGCCAAAGCAACCAACAUGGCUUGCUAUUAUAGCAACCGACUCUAUUGUCAUCCCAUAAUGGAGAAGACUCCAUAUGAGCACUUGAAUGGAAGAAAGCCCAACAUUGCAUACUUUUGGGUUUUUGGUUAUAAAUGCUACAUAUUGAAGAAAUGCACUAGAUUGAGUAAAUUUGAAAAGAAAUGUGUCGAGGGUAUCAGUAAGGGGUACCCUCACCGAUGCACCUAACAAGAUUAUCCGUACGCAAGUCGAGGCCCUCAACUCGACGUUCUGGUCACACAUGUGCGCAGCAAUCGACGGCUGCAGCCUCGAAGAGGGAAAUGACGUCGAGCGAACCACUUGGGGGUCGAGUGCUGACUACCGUCGAAUACGGAAAUAGGCUCGAGCGAAUCAGAAGGCGUCGAGCGCAAGGACACUGUCCGCCGCCUGACGCGCGCACGAGAGCCGGGACAUUAAAUGCACCUGCCGCUUUUCUCACCUAACACGCUGGUCACGGGGAGCGUGAUAGGGAACAGGCACCCGUCCCGUCGUUCUUUUUGUAGCCUUCCCCACCAAACGGCCCAGGGCGUGUCAGGACGUGGGAAGCGGGGAUGGAACAUCAAAUCAAGACUCCCUCAAGGUAACCAAGGUCAGCGCUCCGAUAUCAGGACAUCGUACGACGUCCGACCCUCGACUUAACAUCGCUCCUUCCUGGGGACGAGACGGGCGUCGACUGGCAACGCCGUGACCACUCUGCCGAAUACGCCGCCGAGUCGUACAAGCAUGCGUCCAUUGAACCAGUCUAAAGACGGCGUAUAGAGCAGGGUACAGGAGCACGCGCAAUCAUCACCAAGCCACUGAGACGGGACGGCUCGAGGCCACGCCGGUACGGAGGCCUCGAGUAGGUUAGCGCUCCAUGCUUCUAUCGACCCCUACUCUGACACCUAUACAUGUACCUUGGGCCUCUCCUUGGUGCUAUAAAAGGGAGGACCCAGAGAUAGAUAACGACCACGACAUAACACCACGCUCAUACGCAGUAGAACUCCACGCUUCAUACCACACUUGUAUUCACCCCUGUACAAGCACUUAGGUGCGAGAUAAUACAAACUCUCCCCCGCUGGACGUAGGGCCUUCUCUUGCCCGAAUCAGGAUAAAUCUUUGUGUCUUCUUGCAUCACCAUCUGGGAAAGGGAGCACGCAUACAAAUUUACUCGUUGGUGUGACCCCCCGUGGGGAAAACACCGACAGUUGGCGCGCCAGGUAGGGGUCCUGCGUGUUUUUUCAUCGGUUUCCCACUCCUUUCCAGAUGGCAGCUCUUGCCUCGCCGAUUCUGCGCUCCACGAUGAUUUGGUUUGGGAGUCUCGAGUUCAUGUCUACGGGCUCCGGCUACGACAUGAUCUUGCUCUCAGUCAAAGGACCGGGAGGAGCCCGCGUUGCACCAGCUCGGUUGAGGGCCCCAAGACGUCCUCGCCACCACGCCUCCCCGCCCAAGAAGAGGCGCGGACAGCACCACCGCCCCCCCUCUGCCUCAUCACGACCGGCAACUCGUGCGAGGUAGGAGGUGGGCUGCGAACCGGCAACACCAUGUGCCGGAACCGCGGGCACGACGACGGCUCAACAUCGCACGACGACGGGAGGGGACGCGUCUCGCGCCCCCCCCCACCGCUACUAAGCUACUUCCACACGGGUGGUUCACUCCAAGAAGGGCACUGCCAUUCGGCUUGGACAACGCCGCGGCGUCGCUCGCCAGAGCAAUAUGCCCAAAUGCUCAGACGUACGUGGAGAGACCAAUGGUCCUCCCAAGUAACUCUGAGACACUACGACCGACGUCCGAACUGCCGGAUUUCUCCCAGGUGCGAGGCCUCCGCCGCCUAGGCCCUGGGCGAUACACGAUCACCUCACUCAGGCAACGGCUGCUGGAGGAGGAACGUGGAUGCUUCUACGCCACCGAGCCAGACUCCGACUCCGAGACUGAUAGCUACGACCCUACGAGGGAAUGCUAUCACGUCGACGGGGCAGUAGAAACUACCGACGAGACGCAGGAUGCUGCAGCGGGCGGUUGAGCCCCUGCAGCACGAGAAGACCCCAGGAUGCCUGGGAACGACGGGCAGGUCGACCCCCCACCACAGGAAGACAAAGCUGCGCAGCUUGCACAGCUACGAGAGCUCAAGAUGAAGCUCGAUGAAGACCGUGAGCGCCUCGUCCUGCUUGAGCAAAUCCUUGAGCAAGACCUGCCGUACCCGCCGGGCGGAAGUGUCCGCAGACGUGCUCGAGAGGUACAUCGACAAAUCGUCGGAGACGUAGAGCCAGAGCAGCCCGUCAGCCGUUUCCCUCGAGCGGGCCAGAAUGUAGUGGCGGCAACGAUGCUACUGCGCAACAUGCCAGAACCAUCGAACUCCCAGGCUCGCCGCAUUCGAGACGAGGUACGAACUCUGCUCCAGGUGGCGGCAGUCCAACAAGCUGAAAGCUCAGCUUCUCGACAACGAGGAGCUGCCACUGAAAAGCGCGACGAGCCGCCUCAAAAUGAAAAGGAGGUGUCAAUCCAUCAACAGCCUCCUCCUCGAGGCAGAAAGACCGCUCUCGUUCUCCCUGUCGACAAUCAGCGUCGACACGACGCGCGGCAUGACAUCGAAGAGAAUCGACGCCGCCGACACGGAGACGCGGAAGAGCGCGGUUACAGCGCACAUCGCGAUGGGAGGUACGACAGCGACGAAGACCGGGUGGCCCCCGAGCCACCGGGGCCACGAGUGUUCAGUAGGGCGAUCCGCAGCACGCCCCUACCCAGUCCAUUCCGACCCCCGACCAGCAUCGCAAAAUACAAUGGAGAGACCAAACCGGAGUUAUGGCUGGCCGAUUUUAGGCUGGCCUAUCAGCUAGGUGGCGCUCGAGGUGAUGAUCGAGCCAUCAUCAGACAGCUACCCCUCUUCCUCUCCGACACCACCCGUCGAUGGCUCGAAGAACUUCCAGCAAAUCAGAUUCACGACUAGGUCGUUUUGUUUAAAGUUUUCGAGGGUAAUUUCAAAGGAACCUACAUACGGCCCGGGAACUCGUGGGACCUCAGCAAAUGCAAGCAGAAGUCAGGAGAAACUCUUCGAGAGUAUGCUCGAUACUUCUCAAAGCAGCGCACUGAGCUGCCACACAUCCCUGACCAUGACGUCAUCCUAGCCUUUGUCUCUGGUACCACCAGUCGAGACUUAGUGCGGGAACUGGGCCGAAAUCGCCCUCAGACCGUCGAUGAGCUGAUGGAUGUAGUGGCAAACUACGCAGCAGGGGAGGAGGCAGUCGGCGCCUUCUUCAGCUGUGAAGGAGGGAAAGGCAAGCGGCCUGUCGAUGAAGAUGGAACCCCCAGUCGAGGUCUCAAGAAAAACAAGAAGAAGCCGAAAGCACGGCAGUUGCAACGGGAAGAUUUCGACAACAACCUUGUCGCCGCCAUGGAGCGAAAGAAGCCUCGAGGCCCUCCAGAUGGGGGUAUCUUUGAUAAGAUGCUAGAGGAACCAUGCCCUUACCAUAAGGGAGGCGCCAACCACAAGCUCAAGGAUUGUCGUAUGCUGAAGAGGCAUUUCGACGGUCUAGGGUUCAAGAGGGAUGAGCGUGACGACUCAAAAAAGGAGAAGGGCGGCGACAAAGAGGGCAACAAGGACGACGACGGCUUCCCCGCCGUCCACGACUGCUACAUGAUCUAUGGUGGGCCUUUGACACAGUUGACCACGAGGCAGCGCAAAAGGGAGCGCCGUGAGGUCUUUGCGGCAAGAAUGGCGGCGCCCCAGUACCUCAGCUGGUCGAGCACCCCCAUCACCUUCGAUCGGGAAGACCAUCCCGACAAGGUAGUCGCCCCAGGCGUCUACCCGCUCGUCGUCGACCCUAUCAUCAUCAACACCAGGCUCUCCAAGGUGCUAAUGGACGGAGGCAGCAGCCUCAACAUCAUCUACCUCGAGACCCUCGACCUCCUUGGCAUCGAAAGAGGACGGCUCCAGCCAAGCGCCGGCGGUUUCCAUGGCGUCGUGCUAGGAAAAAAGGCGUUGCCCGUAGGUCGAAUCGACCUACCGGUCUGCUUUGGCACGGCGGCCAACUUCAGGAAGGAGACCCUCACCUUUGAGGUGGUCGGGUUCCGUGGCACGUACCACGCCAUCAUCGGGCGCCCGGGCUACGCCAAGUUCAUGGCUAUACCCAACUACACCUACUUGAAGCUGAAGAUGCCCGGUCCCAAAGGCGUCAUCACUGUUAGCUCUUCCUUUGAGCACGCUUACGAGUGCGACGUCGAGUGCGUCGAGUAUGGGGAGGCGGUCGAGAACUCCACAGAGAUCUUCACAAAACUCGAAGCCCUGGCCACUGAGGCUCCAGAGCCCAAGCGCCACGCGGGCAACUUCGAGCCAGCAGAGGGAACCAAGAAGAUCCCGCUCGACCCCAACAACUCCGAUGGCAAGGUGCUGACGAUCAGUGCCGACCUCAACCCCAAAUAGGAAGCUGUGCUCAUCGACUUUCUCUGUGCGAACGUCGACAUGUUUGCAUGGAGUCCAUCGGACAUGCCAGGCAUACCGAGGGAAGUCGCCGAGCACUCCUUGGAAAUUCGAGCCGGUUCCAAGCCAGUGAAGCAGCGGUUGUGCCGAUUCGACGAGGAGAAGCGUAAGAUCAUUGGCGAGGAAAUCCACAAGCUUUUGAUGGCCGGAUUCAUCAAGGAGGUUCAUCAUCCCGACUGGUUAGCAAACCCUGUAUUAGUUAAGAAAAAGAAUGGGAAAAUGAGGAUGUGUGUCGAUUACACAAGUCUAAAUAAAGCAUGUCCAAAAGUUCCUUUUCCAUUACCACGUAUUGAUCAGAUUGUCGAUUCUACUGCGGGAUGCGAAACCCUUUCUUUCCUUGAUGCGUAUUCCGGUUACCAUCAAAUAAAAAUGAAAGAGUCCGACCAGCUCGCGACCUCUUUCAUCACACCUUUUGGGAUGUAUUGCUAUGUAACCAUGCCGUUUGGGCUUCGAAACGCGGGCGCUACAUACCAACGCUGCAUGCUCCACGUAUUUGGUGGACACAUAGGGUCGACGGUCGAGGCCUAUGUCGACGACAUUGUCGUCAAGUCAAAAUGGCGAGGGGACCUGAUCCAGGACCUCGAGAUCGCUUUUAGCUGUUUACGCGCCAACCAGAUCAAGCUCAAUCCUGAAAAAUGCGUUUUCGGCGUGCCUCGAGGCAUGCUCUUGGGCUACAUUGUUUCGAAGCGCAGCAUCGAGGCCAACCCCGAGAAAGUCUCGGCCAUCACAAGAAUGGGGCCGAUCCGGGACAUCAAGGGUGUGCAAAGAGUUACGGGAUGCCUGGCGGCUCUCAGCCGUUUCAUCUCAAGACUAGGAGAAAAGGCGUUGCCGUUGUAUCGACUUCUGAAGAAGGCCGAGCGCUUUUCUUGGACCCCCGAGGCCGAGGAAGCGCUCGAAAAGCUGAAGAAGACGCUGACCUCAGCACCAGUCCUGGUCCCACCUCAACCUGCAGAACCGCUGCUCCUCUACGUUGCGUCGACGACCCAGGUCGUCAGCGCAGCAGUGGUGGUCGAAAGGCAGGAGGAGGGACAUGCGCUACCAGUCCAGAGGCCAGUCUAUUUCGUCAGCGAAGUGCUUUCGGAGACCAAGGAACGUUACCCCCAAAUCCAGAAGCUGAUCUACGCCGUAAUCCUUGCCCGCCGUAAGCUGCAACACUACUUUCUCGGCCACCCCAUCACGGUGGUCUCGUCCUUCCCCUUAGGCAAAAUAAUCCAGAGCAAGGAGGCCACGGGAAGAAUAGCUAAAUGGUCGGUUGAGCUCAUGAGGGAGACACUCACUUAUGCGCCUCGCAAGGCUAUCAAGUCGCAGGCCCUGGUAGACUUCGUCGCGGAAUGGACAGACUCCUAGCUUCCCCUAACUCAGGUCCAGGCGGAGCUGUGGAUGAUGUAUUUUGAUGGGUCACUCAUGAAAACAGGAGCCGGGGCCGGCCUACUGUUCAUCUCACCCUUGGGCGUCCAUAUGAGGUAUGUUAUCAGGAUUCAUUUUGCCGCAUCUAACAACGUCGCGGAAUAUGAGGCCCUCGUCAACGGUCUCAAGAUUGCCAUCGAGCUAGGAGUCCGACGCCUCGACGUCCGAGGCGACUCCCAACUCGUCAUCGACCAGGUGAUGAAGACUUCGAGCUACCACGACCCAAAAAUGGAGGCGUACUGCAAAGAAGUUCGUCGACUCGAGGACAAGUUCCAUGGUCUCGAGCUCGUCCAUGUCGCCCGAUGUUACAACGAGGCAGCCGACGAGCUUGCCAAGAUCGCAUUGACUCGAGGCACGGUGCCACCUGAUGCGUUCUCAAGAGAUCUUCACGAGCCAUCCGUCGACUUGGGCUCGGGGGCUGGCGUCGAUGCCGCUCCCGCCCAGCCAACCGACACCGUCGAUGCACUGCUGAUGGCAGCAGAGGUGAUGGAGGUAGAGCAGCGACCCGGUCGACCGUUCGACUGGUGUACACCGUUCCUCGACUGCCUAAUCCGCUGCGAGCUGCCAGAAGAUCGAUCUGAGGCCCGCCGUAUCGCUCGACAGGCCAUGUCAUAUGUGAUUUAUGGCGACGGCAAUGAGCUAUACCGACGAAGCCCGACGAGGGUCUUGCAGCGUUGCAUCACCGUAGAAGAAGGCCAAAAACUCCUUGAGGACAUACACUCGGGGGCUUGCGGCCACCAUGCUGCUCCAUGGACCCUCGUAGGGAACGCCUUUCGACAAGGUUUCUACUGGCCAACGGCCGUGGCAGAUGCCAUCGAGCUUGUACGUUCAUGUCAUGGGUGCCAGUUCUACGCCAAACAGAUGCAUCUGCCCGCCCACGCUCUUCAAAUGAUCCCCAUCACCUGGCCAUUUGCGGUAUGGGGGCUCGAUUUAGUAGGACCUCUACAAAAGGCAAAAGGGGGUUACACCCACUUGCUCGUGGCCGUUGACAAAUUCUCCAAAUGGAUCGAGGCUCGACCCAUCACCAAUAUCCGCUCUGAACAAGCCGUCCUCUUCUUCACCGACAUCAUACACCGAUACGGAAUCCCUAACGUGACCAUCACCGACAACGGCACCCAGUUCACUGGCAAAAAGUUCUUGGACUUCUGCGAUCAGCAUCACAUCCGUGUGAACUGGUCCGCGGUGGCUCACCCUCCAACUAACGGCCAGGUCGAGCGUGCCAACGGCAUGAUCUUGCAAGGGCUCAAACCAAGGAUCUACAAUCGCCUGAAGAAGUUUGGCAAGAAGUGGGUCGAGGAACUUUCCUCGGUCUUAUGGAGUUUGAGGACGACGCCAAGCCGGGCCACCAAAUACACCCCGUUCUUCAUGGUCUAUGGCUCUGAGGCCGUGCUCCCAACGGACCUCGAGUAUGGAUCUCCUCGACUCAAGGCGUACAACGAGCAGUCGAAUAAGGAAGCUCAAGAGAGUGCUGUCGACCAGCUUGAGGAGGCUCGAGACAUGACCCUCCUCAACUCUGCCAGAUACCAGCAGAAGCUUCGACGCUACCACGACAAACACGUACGAAAGAGGGACUUAAACAUGGGUGACCUUGUCCUACGACGACGGCAGAGCAAUCAAGGACGCCACAAGCUGACCCCACCAUGGGAAGGCCCGUACGUGGUGGCCGAGGUCUUGAAGCCAGGAACGUACAGGUUAGCGGACGAGAAGGGGGCGGUCUUCACCAACGCAUGGAACAUCGAACAGCUACGUCGAUUCUACCCCUAGAAGUUCAAAACUUACGUUCCUACGUACAUUUUGUACCAAGACUCUGUAAAACGAAUGCAUGAAUAAAUGAAGUCUUUCCCUCGAGCAACUUCUUUUUGUACUAAGGAGUUACAAGUCAUAAUCUCGAUGUUAGAAGGGGGCGCCGACUAUGACCCAUCAUAGUCAACACCCCCUCGGGGGCUACCAGGGGGACGACCCCCCCCCCCCCGUGCAUCGAAAAAGCCAAGAAAUUUUCUCUUCCUACUUAGUAAACCUUGCACGAUUUGAGUAGCUAAGGCACCUCGAGCCCCUCAAAGGCCGAGGGACAACGAGCCUGAGAACUCCUACGCCCCCGGGCUACGGAAACUCUACUCACUUCCUCACCCUUGAGGCGAUCGAGGUUGUUUUUUACGAAAGACCGAACAAGGAAUACAAACGUAUGAACAAAGAGAAAUAAAAUAACCUCGAGCGGAAAGACAAAUAAGCAUUUAAUAAUUACAAAAAGAUAUUGUAUCGCCUAACAAUACGAUUAACAAAGUAUUAUACAAGGGGCCCUAGGCACCCUGAGCAGGCUCGUAGGCCUCAGUCCGUGGCAUGGUCCUCACCACCCUCGCCUCCGCCCAAGCCAGUCUCAGGAGGAAGAACCUCAGGCUCAAAAAGCUUAGCCAGCCAUUCCCCAGGAGCCUCCGCGUCGUCGAUCAAGGCGUGGAGCCUCUCUUUGUUUUCCGCAUCGGUCUUGGAGAUGUCGGUGAUGAAGCCGUGGGACACCACCUCCAUGUCGUAGGAGAAGCCCGAGCAGACAACCGCCAUCGCCUGCUUCACCCCGAUGUGGACGGCAUCCCGCACCCGAUCUCGCAGCGUUGCGCCUAUGUAGCACAGCUGGUCGACCAGUGCGUCGCCUCGAGCGUCCUCCCUCGACUCAUCCAUAGGCUCAACCUCCCAGGAGGCCGAGAGGUCGCUUAUCGCCGUCCGCACUCCACGGUUCAAAGCAACCUCAGGCUCGAGCUGGGUCUUGGCAUUACGGGCCUCGACUUGGGCGGCUAGGAGUUCGUCCUUAAGCCCUGCAAACGCCAAUACAAGAAACUUUGGGAAAAACUGAGCACACCUCGAAAAAGAAACCCGACAAAGGAAACGUACCGCGGACGCUCUCCUCCAGGGCCGUGUUUUCGCCGACUAAUCUGGUGUUGGCCCUCUCGAUCUCUCUGUUGGAACGGGCCAGCUCAGUGUUGGCAACGCGGAGAUCCUCGAUCACCUUGCCAGCCUGAGCGAUGGCCCCACUCUUCUCCAACAGUUCUCCCUUCAAACGUUCGACGUCGUCAGAGAGCCUGUGGGAUUGAGCCCGCUCCGCCUCGAGAUCUUCGAGGGCCUUCUUCUUGGCUUCCUCCGCGGCGCUCCUGGCGAUCUCGCCGUUCACGUGCUCCACCUUCAUCUUCUGGAAGGACUCUCGAAGGGAGUCUAGGUCGGUCUUGAGAAGGCCCUUCUCCUUGUCCAGGUCCGCAAUAACGUUCUUGUAGGACAGGGCCUCCUCCCGGGCUCUAGAUGCAGCCUCCUCGACCGUCAGAGCCCGCUCCCGCAGCAGCGUCGUCUCCUCCUCCGCCUUCUUUGAGGCCUCUCGAGCCUCUACCAAGGCAACCUCCCUCGCCUUCUUCUCCUCCUUGAGCGCUAUGAGGUCUUUAUAAGCCUUGAGGAGUUUCUCCUGCGACUCGAGGAGUUGAUCCUUGAGGACGGGGAGCUGCUCCCAGCCGCCUCGCGUGGCGUGGAUGAAGCUCGACUUGAUGCGGGAGGUCUCCUUCAUAUCCUGCGAGCCGGCGGACGAACAGUUAGAGCACAAAACCAAAUGGCUCCAUGGAGAUCAAAGAUCGAAAGACACUUACAAAAUAAGCAGGCCCGAGCCCGUUGUUGAUGAUGUCCGACAAGAGCCCCACCACGUGCUUCAUCCAAAGGCGGAGCUCCUCGACAUGUUCCCACUUCUCGGCCUCCUUCUUGUCGUCGAGGAAGAUGUUGGGCUCGGACGGAUCGGUGGAAGCCCGGAUACGAAUCCGAUCGGGGCACCAGUUCUCCAUCUCUCAAUCAGCCCGCGCCUGGACACCGCGGAUAAGGUUCUCGACGGUCUCGAGGGAGCCCCCAUGGCGCAAGAACAGGUCGACAAGGAAUGGGAACCGCCCGUCAUCGUCAACCAUCUUCCAGGUACCGUCCUUGCUCCCUGACGACCCGAUCUCAUCCUCCUCGGAGGGAAAGCGGUCCUCCCACGCUCGACGCUCCCGGAGGAACCCAGGGGCGAUCCCGUCCAUGUCGUAGAUCGUCCUCUUGAUCUCGGACUCGGGGUCGGUGGGGGUGCGCAUCAUACAGGCGAGCGCCACCACUCCAUCCGCUCGCCCCGACUCUGCCCGGAUCACGGCAGGCGCCCCCGGGAGGAGCCACGCCUGGGUGGGAGGGCCGUACACCGGCAAAUCUUCCUCCUGAUCGCCGGACUCUUGCGGCGCCGGUGGUAUCGGUUGGGCCAGACCUUGAGGCAGGGGCUCGAGCGGCCUUUCCUCUUGGCCCCCCUGCUCCUGCUGCUGCUGUUGUUCCCUCUGUUGCUGCUAUUGUUGAAGCCCCUCGGGCGUUUGCUGCUCCUGCUGCUGCUGCUCCUGUGGUGGCCGCGUCGCCUCGCGCUCCCGCUCCUCCCCCUCCUUCUCUUUCUCCUUCUGCUCUUCGAGGGCUCGAAGGCCAGCGGGCCAGGGAGUCCGUCCCGCGAUGUGGGAGGUCGACGUUUCCUCCUCCACAGGGCGGGCACCCCCAGACGCUUUGUUACCAUCAGACGUAUCGCUGAUGGUGAUGGGUUCCCCCUCGACCCCCAAUCGAGGGGGCUCGGGGGCUCCCUCUGGCACUUGCGUCUGGGACGCCUCACCACACGUCGGCGGCGACGGGGUAGGCACGGGACAAGGCGGAGCAUUCUCAACGCCGGCUGGAGGUUGGGAGUCGGAGGAGCCUGCAAAACAAAGAAUAGAGGCCGGUGACUGCUAUGGCUAGCACAAGAACGUCACAAAUCCCAAAAGUAAACCACAAACCUAGCUCCUUGGAGGCGGCUCCCGCUUUGAGCCUCUUUGCCAUGGACGGCUGGGCCUGCUCGAGGGUCCGCUUUAGCCUGAGAAAAGAAAGGGAUGAGCGCCGGAGAAGAUCGGCAUAUGAGAAAGUGCGUAGGAGCAGGAAGACGAAAGCCACAAUGUCGAAAAAGCUUACCCCACAGGGAGAACAGCUCGCCUCCCGCCGCCCCGACCGGCGGGUCUCGAGCCACCCCGCGUCAGAGCCCCAGGCCCCUUGAAGGCUGGCGCUGGCCUUGGCGCGGUAGUUCCCACCUAGCGGGCGCUGGGACUGGCGCUCCUGUGGCUGGCCUCUCCUUUCUCGGAGCCCGCGGCGCGACCGCGAGUCAGUGGCCCCGUCGCCUGGGGCCUAGCAUGACCGCUCUCCCUGGGAGCCGAGGGAGGGCGCGGCGCGACUUGACCAGCCUUGGGUGCAGGAGGGGUAUCGGCCCGAGGACGGUGAGAUCCGCUCGGACCCUCCUUUGGAGUCUCCGUCCGGGGGGCAUCGACGUCGCCUCGAGGCGGACCCUCGAGGAUUCGGUCAAGGCGUGACGCCAUCCCCUCAGAGUCGUCGCUGUCCUCGUCGUCAUCAUCGUCGUCGUUGGGGGAUUCUUCCUCAGGCUCCCCCCUCUGCCUGGAUUUGGCUCGACGCGCCUCUAAUGCUUGGCGGUCAAGGUUCUUCUUCUUCUCCCCCUUCUUUGCAGAGUCCUUGGCGGACUUUAGCUUUUCGGCAGAUUGGCGCCGCUUGUCGCGAUCGACCUCGUCCUCCUUUACUGGAGACCUCGAGGACCGGACAUCAAUCCGUCCCUGCCAAAACAAAGGCAUACUUAGAAAAAAAAAGGGGGGAAGAAAGGAAACCCAGAAUCGAGGCUGCGCGCGAGAAGAAAGCGUACCAGAUCGAUCGAGCCUGCGUCUGGCCUCAUGGGGAAGCCGUUAACAUGCUCCGGCUGAAAAUCACCGGCAAUUGCAGCCCUGACUCGGGCCGCGACUUCGUCGUCCGCCGGAGCCUCGUUGGACAUCCAGCAUGCCUCGAGGUCCCGAGAUGAGAUGCCAGGUCCCAUCUUGUCCAUCCUCAACGGUCGAGACAUCAAUGGGAGAACUCUCCGGUGAUGGACGACCGAGAGGACGAGAGCGGCGGUCAAACCCUCCUGGCGAAGCUUCUUCAGGACGUCGAGGAGGGGGCCGAGCCGAGAUUGAUGAGCUUGGAUGACGCCGUAUGUCCAGUCUGCUGGACGCUCCAUGAUCAGACGACCCGAGUAGGAAGGCAGGAGGUUGUCGUCGUUCCGUAGGUAAAACCACUGGGAGUCCCAGCCGGCGUGGUUGGUCGAUAACCGUACCGGGAUGUACUCCCACGGCCUAUCCGUCUUCCCUGUCUUCUGCACAAGAUUGAGGCAUCCCGCCCGCACGGGCUUCCUUACGCCCGUGGUUUCGGUGGGGGCGUGGAAAAGUUCGCCCCUGUAGAGGUGGAGCCACAGCUCCCAGUGCGGCAUCAUCCCCAAGUAGCCCUCACACACGGCGGCGAAGACCGCCGCGACGGUGAUGGCGUUUGGGGAGAAGUGCUGGAGCUCCACCCCGUAGUGGAAGCAAAGUGCCCGCAUAAAGCGGCUCGGAGGAGCACCCAGGCCGUGGCGGUGGAAUUUGGCGAAUGACACCACGUAGCCCUCGGGCGGUUGGGGCUCCCUGUGGUUCGCCGGCGGCGCGAUCCACUCAGGCGACGAUAGCGAGGUGCGGCGGCGCAGCAGUCCCUCUCUCUCAAGCUCUAACAACCGGCGCUCCGUCAUCGACGACGGGCGCCAGUCGUCGGCGGCAACGAAUCUCACAGGCAUAUCGGCUGGAAGGACGGUGGAUCCGCUACUGCUCAAGGAGGCGUGUGCGCGUGAGACGGCGAGAAAGCUAAGACGGCAAGAAGGCUAAGGCAAGAGUGAAGAUGGGAGGCGGAAGAAAGAACAGCGGUGGCUCCACGGCGUAUUUAUAGGCAGCAAUCCGCCAACGGACGGAUCCGAGAAAUAAGGUAACUCCCCCCAUAAAUGCACCACCUAACAAUCUCUUUCCCCUCACAGGCGGGGCGCUCCGAAUUCCACACCGACGCAGUGUCGUAACGUCACCCACCUGAAAAGGCACGCCCAACGGGCAAAAAAGGCAAACCGCCACGGCCACCUCCUUCCCUUGUAGGCCAAGGGGCGUACCCGCGAGAGUCUCGAGAGGUCGAUGGCUGGCCCGCCGAAAGGGUUCGACAGCUGAUCUCGAGCACCAGAGUCAGGGAUCCCCAGCGAGCAGUCGAAGAUCGAGGCCCGCCUCAAAGACUCGCUGGUGAUGUCCAAGGUAGGGUCGAGACAGUCGAGAGGAAUCCCCCCGACGGGAGGCAUCGAGCCGCUGAUCGAAUGAGACCGGUAUCCCCGACCACGUCGACCCUGCUUUAUGAGAACGCCUCCGGGCUACAGCUGACCCCCUCGAAAGGGGCACAGGUUCUCACUUGGACUACCCACUAGGAACUCAAUCUGGGGUGGAAGACGCUCGCUCUACCGAGAGUACGUCGAAACCUCCUCACAAGGCAAAGCCGAUCAGAACCUUCCACCACUGGUGUCGACAGUGUUUCUGCAAAUUAGGCAAAAUAACCCUCGAAGGAGUUAAAAAACUCCCUCGAGGUCUCGGGAGCUACCCCCGCGGGGUCACUCGUGCCCCCCCACGGAAAUUCGACCGCAAAAGCAAAGCCUCCACUCGAGCGCCAGCGCUCGAAUGGAGACUCGGGGGCUACUGUCGAGGGUAUCAGUAAGGGGUACCCUCACCGAUGCACCUAACAAGAUUAUCCGUACGCAAGUCGAGGCCCUCAACUCGACAUUCUGGUCACACAUGUGCGCAGCAAUCGACGGCUGCAGCCUCAAAGACGGAAAUGACGUCGAGCGAACCACUUGGAGGUCGAGUGCUGACUACCGUCGAAUACGGAAACAGGCUCGAGCGAAUCAGAAGGCGUCGAGCGCAAGGACACUGUCCGCCGCCUGACGCGCGCACGAGAGCCGGGACAUUAAAUGCACCUGCUGCUUUUCUCACCUAACAUGCUGGUCACGGGGAGGGUGAUAGGGAACAGGCACCCGUCCCGUCGUUCUUUUUGCAGCCUUCCCCACCAAACGGCCCAGGGCGUGUCAGGACGUGGGAAGCGGGGAUGGAACGUCAAAUCAAGACUCCCUCGAGGUAACCAAGGUCAGCGCUCCGAUAUCAGGACAUCGUACGACGUCCGACCCUCGACUUAACAUGGCUCCUUCCUGGGGACGAGACGGGCGUCGACUGGCAAUGCCGUGACCACUCCGCCGGAUUCGCCGCCGAGUCAUACAAGCAUGCGUCCAUUGAACCAGUCUAAAGACGGCGUACAGAGCAGGGUACAGGAGCACGUGCAAUCAUCACCAAGCCACUGAGACGGGACGGCUCGAGGCCACGCCGGUACGGAGGCCUCGAGUAGGUCAGCGCUCCAUGCUUCUAUCGACCCCUACUCUGACACCUAUACAUGUACCUUGGGCCUCUCCUUGGUGCUAUAAAAGGGAGGACCCAGAGAUAGAUAACGACCACGACAUAACACCACGCUCAUACGCAGUAGAUCUCCACGCUUCAUACCACACUUGUAUUCACCCCUAUACAAGCACUUAGGUGCGAGAUAAUACAAACUCUCCUCCACUGGACGUAGGGCCUUCUCUUGCCCGAACCAGGAUAAAUCUUUGUGUCUUCUUGCAUCACCAUCUGGGAAAGGGAGCACGCAUACAAAUUUACUCGUUAGUGUGACCCCCCGUGGGGAAAACACCAACAAAAUGUGAUGAAGGUUUCUUGCUUGGUUACUCCACUACUAGCAAAGCUUGUAGAGUUUGGAAUUUGGCUAGUGGUACUCCUGAAGAGGUGCAUGAUAUUGAGUUUGAUGAAACAAAUGGUUUUCAAGAGGAAGAUGAAAAUCUAGAUGAUGUGAGAGGCAUUCAACUGGCCGAUGCAACAAAAUCUAUGGACUUUGGUGAUUUAAGACCUAGAGAAGUGAUUGAUGUUGAAGAUGACAAAGAUCAAGUGCUUCCUACCUCUAAUGUGCAAGCUAGUGGUUCUCAUGAUCAAAAUCAAGCUAGUGUUGACGGUAGGUAACUCCUAUUUUUAACCGUCAACUAGACAUGAAAAUGGAUCUAUGAGCAAACACCUAGUAGAUAUAGGGUUAUCACUAACAUAAUUCCACGAGUUUUGGUGAAUGUCUAUUUUUGCAGGGUGUCAGCUGAAAAAUACCAAAGAUGGUCCACAUAUCAGGUUUACAUAGAAAGAAUACCACAAACAUCUACUUUUCUAUAAUCUAGAAGGUCCCAAAAGGCUCUAGACCAAACUGGAGCCCGAACUAGCUCGAGAGCCGGGCGGUCGCCCAAGGUGGGAUGCUCACUUCAACCAAUCAGGGUGAACCUCGCGGAUCCUGCCUCCAUCAACUUUGAGGAGUAAUCUUGAGCGCACGUUUAAGUCGGUUUGAUCUAAGGGCUAUGGUUCUUCCUAGGGGGUGGAAAGAUUAGUACCACAUCGCUAGUUUGAGUUAGAGGAGGGGUCAGAUGCCUCCUAUAAAUAAGACCCUCACCCCCCUAGGGAGUAGCUAAUUCUAAAGCCUUAAUUCAUAUUUUCCAGAGAGAAUUAGUCAGAGAGGGGUCCCUCAAAUGGAUCUGUCUCUUUAGGGUUUUAGCAACAAGAGAGAUUGAGAGAGUAUAGGGUGUACAUAAAAGUGGAGGAAGCCCGGCCUAUCAGUGUCUUCUUCCUUGUAUCUACGGGAUCAAGUCUUCUGACUCAAGGCCUUGUUCUAGAAUCAUUUGGCAAUUCGACUUCUAAUACUAGUAAGUUAUUGUUCUUAUUGUUCUUUGGUUUAUGGGUUUACUUUAUUCACUUUGUAUUGGGAAUAGAGUAAUCAUUCAUAGUGUAAGCAUGGUGCUUGGGUAACGAAUACUCGUAGAUACUCCCUAUCUAGCCAGAUUUGUGUUAGCAUCGGGGGAUAUGACAAUCCCCUUGGUGUCUCUGUAAUCCUUGUCCCAUUAGUAGGUAAGGUAGGAUAUAUGGUGCCAGGGUCAAGCAUUCUCUAAGGUGUCUCUUUUCUCCAGGUACUUCCCUUAGAACAAUAUCUACAUAGCUCACCAUAGGUUAGAAGAAGACUGACGAAGGAGUUCUCUCUAUAUCGCUCAUAUUUCACUAUCUUGUCUUGAAAGCCCAGGGGUUAAGUAUAGAUUUGGGUUAGUCUGAUGCACUCUUUCUCCUAGUGGUAAAAAUAUAAAUAACGAUACUCUGGAAUAUCUCUCGGGUGAAGUUCUCACCGAUAUCCGUGUGCUUGCGAAUUUCUCUAUGUGCAUAUCUAAUAUCAACAAGCAUUUCUAGCACCAUUGCCGGGGGAAAGAUGGUCUACUGAGAUAACUUUAAAUCAUGCUUAACCAUGUAUUAUACUUUUAUCUUUUUGUUUUAUCUCAUAUUUUCUUUUUCCUUUUCUUUUCUAUCCCUAUGGAUAAACUAAAUUCCACGCCUAUCUAUCAAUUCCCUGCACCCAUCAGCGUAAGCUUAGAGCCACUAGAGGCCAUGAUUUUCACAUCUAGCUAUGAGCUACGCCGAUGUUUGGUUGCAAUAGGUCAAAGCCAACCCUUUUCUAUAGCUAGAGUCAUAUCUUCUAAUCAAGAAGGUAAUGUACCCAAGGUCCUAUCUUCUGAUCAAGUAGAUAAUGAACUUUUAGCUACACUUAAGAAAUCUUUUAAUCUUACUAUAAAUUUAGGCUUAGACCUACAAGACCUUGUUCUUCAACAUCUUUAUACGAGUCUUGUUAAUACCAUCUUUGGAGGAGUUUUCCUUUCUUUAUCCGUUAGUAAGGUGAGGUUUGUCCUUAUUAUUAGUGGACACACCCCUUGCACUAGCCUUCAUGAUGAAAUCCUAGAGGUAGAGAAGGAAUCAUCCCUUAAACUAGAAGAGGAAGUUUUCAUAGCCACUUUGCAAAUGUUCCAAUCCCUUUGAACGACAGUUAGAAAUACUCAAGGAUGGCAUGUCAAGUGAUGCCAUAGAAGGAGAGCGAAGCCACUCUAAUCCUCUCCCCUUCUAUGCCCACAUUAGAUAUAGAAUACAAACCCAUCUCUAAACCCAUCCUUGACCACUAUGGCUUGUACAAUGCUCUUUCUCCUAAACCACUUGAUGAUUCUAGAAAUCCAUCUAGAUAUCCCAUGCAUAGGAAUCAUCAAGACCAUAUAGAAGAUCGAGAAGAGCAACAUUCAUGGCUAGAGAGCAUUAAAAACCUAUUUGCCAUUGCCAUUGAAUGGAUAGCCAACGCCUUAGAUAAGAUCAAUUCAAGAGAUGACCCAAGGGAAUUUUUGGGCAUAUAUGUCAAGUCACCCUUGGAAGUAGAAAAUGAUGGAGGCUUCAAUGAGCAAAGAAGCUACUUCAUCAACACCCCAUCUAUCCUUACUCUUAUGAAAAAUCUCCUGACUUACUUAGUCUCUCUAACAUUGCCCCACAUGAGAUCUUCAACCCCCUCAUGCUCCCUAUUCCUAAAGUUUUUGAAAGGGUGGUUGUAGACACAUAUAUUUAUCAUAAAUAUUGUAGAUCUCAUAUGGUGAAUUUUGAGAGUAGUGCACUUAGGUUGGUGUUGGAAGGGAAACCACUUCACCAAACCACACCUUGAAGUUUUCCCAAGAGCAAGCUUAAUGUCCUAAAACAAACACAGUUUAGACCAUGACAUGUGUUCAAGUUUCUACUGUGCUUCCCUUGUUAAUUGAGCAUAGAAUUAUAAUUGUGAAAAUAUUCCUUUAGGUAUCCUUGUCAUGAACCUUACCAGGUUUGGAGCAAAAGAUCAAAGGAGUGACAAAUGCAAGGUAUGUCCAACCAAUCAUUAUACAAUAUUGAAUUACUUUCACCCAAUCUUGAUUUUUGCAAAAUUCAAGCUUGGGGGCUAUACUUACAUACAUACAUCUCUUGCCAUGUUGCUACAUCAUCUUGGUUGUACCUACUUUAAAGAUAUGCUCAAUUUGCAAAACAAUAAUCAUGCUCUUUUAUCACUGUUUGAGUAAACAUAUAUAAUGCUUUCAUGUCACCUUUGUUUGCUAUAGUAUAUGUUUAGGUUUGGAGUAGUUUCAUACAUCUCUUAAAUUAAGCAUGGUGCCUAGUUUAGGAGUAGUGAUCUUACUCUCAAAGGCUUUUAAUUGUGCAUGAUUAAAAUGCCUUCUUGAAUCAAAUUAGACGUGGUGUCUAGGUUGAUUUUUGAGCCGAUAGUAUGCUAUAGUAGAUAUUAGAUAUUUUGUUGGACUAACCCCUACAUGAAAGGUUUUAAUGCCAAAAUGGGAAAGUCCUGAGGUAAACUCACACUGGUGAUGAAGAGAGGCAUGAUAAUUUUGCACAAGGGAGACUCAACGCACUCAUAGCCAAGAAUAAAGAUGGGUGCCACAAAACAUGAUCCACGAUCAAAGCACUCACUCCAUGGAGUUGCAUCCUCUUGUCAAUCACUACUUAUCAGGAAUCAAGAAAAAAUUGACAAGAGAAGAGCAUGCACGUGUUGCACUCUCACCUCUCAAGUUGAGAAGCUAAGACAUGAGGAAGAAGGUCAUCCCCUCCAGAUUAUCCAACCAAGUUCUUCCACAUCUCAUGCUCCCAUCGCUCCACACACUGGUUUGCAAUCUCUAAAUUCACUAUUACUUUAUUUCUAUAAGUUUGAAUUGAUUCAUAAUGCCUAUAUUUGAAAAUGAAACAUAAGAUGGGUAUGUAAAAUCAAUCCUUUAGAAAGAAGUAAUUGUGAAUACUAAAUGCACUAUGCUAAGUAUGAUCAAGCAAGUUCCUUUUUAUAGCAUAGAAAGUGACCCUUAGCUGUGUUACAACAAUGCCCAUGUCAUUACUUGUAUAUUCCUUCGGGUAUGUGUUGUCCACUAAUGAUUUGUAGGAAUAAAAUAAUAAGAAGAGCUAAAGGUCCAAACACAAAUUAGACAGAGAACAAACAAUGGCAUAAGAAAGGAGUGCAACAUAAAAGACAGUUGGUGGAUGAACAAGACAUGUGACUAGCCAAGUAAGGAAAGCUUCCACAAGACGUUAGGGCUUCAACAUGCUUCAAAUAUUAAAGGUAACAUCUCUAGGUAAGUGAUCAUUACUUCCAUAAUAACCUCCUUGAUUCUAGCAUGCAUAUAAGUAGCGAGCCAAACAUGAUUUUAGUUACAACCUCAUUUGAUCCAAUCUAAUUAACUCAACAUGUUUAGUUCUUUAUGCUUGUUCCUAGCAUCACUUUGAUGGCCGCAUAGCCUUUAACUCAAUGAUCCGGAAUGUUGUGCAUCCCAUCUUUGGAAGAUGAUAGUUAUAAUCAUAAAGUUAUAUGCAUAGGUAGACUAUUCUUCCUUGAGGUUGAGUAAUCUGAUUUGCGAAAUGUUUUAAUGCCACAUUCUUGCUCAUUGUUUGAUGUUAUCGCCCAUGUUUUGUCGACGAAAGCUGGUCGGCAGUCUACCUUGGGGUAUACCCACGGUAGUAGUUUAUCGGUAGACGGUGCGCAAACUACGAACUCGAUGGUGACGCAAGACACGGACAAGCUUUUUAUCCAGGUUCGGCCGCCGAGUUGGCGUAAUACCUACGUCCUGCGUCUUGUUGUAUUGAUUUGUGUUGAGAGAAUAUGAUGUCCCCUAGGGGGGUCCCUUGCCCCUCCUUAUAUAGUCUGGAGGGCAGGGUUACAGAUCUGGAAACUAAUCCUAGUCGGUUACAAUUGCCAUGGAUAAUUCGAUAUCAAUUCCUAUUCUAACCGACUAGAAUCCUGCUUAAUCUCCACAUCUUGUUUCCUUGCGCGAAACUCCAGGUUGUCGGAUCAAGCCUUGAACUCGUCUCGUAAUGGGCCAAGCCUCCUGGCGGAAGUCUAGCCGUAAGGGUAUAGGGGUUUAUACCCCCACAGCUAGUCCCCGAGCACCAUGUAUUGUGAUGUAACACGCCGUCUUGAGCUUCUUUGAUCAGUGAGACUUGACGUCUUCAAUAAGUGGGAAAGUCGCCCAAACAGUUGCAACAGUAUUUUGACCAACUCAAAAAACAGUUGAUCAACAUUGACAUCGAAGAAGCAGGUUGUUUGAAGAAUGCAUGGUGCUCUUAAUUAAAAAAGAUUUCUUUCCUGCUGAAGUGUGCCCACUUUACUUUUCUGAAAAGUAUAGACCUCAAAAUAGCAAGCAUAUUCACCGCAAGAUGAAGUGUGCCCACUUAGUCCCCGAGCCUGGUAGUAGGUGACGUAGACACGUGGUGCCAGGGUCAAAAGAAAAGUUCUUAAAGAAAUUCUGAAACUGAGAUGCAUCGCCAGAUGCAUCGUACCGAUGUAGUCUCCGAGCUUGCUGGAAGGCGAAGUAUGAGCCUUGUAGCAAGGUCUAAAAAAUUGAAUUUACCAGUCCCCGAGCAUAUCAUGCUCGUCUACAAUUGAAUAGACUAAUCGACCAGUCUCCGAGCAUAUAACGCUCGGUGGUCGGUACAGUCCCCGAAUUCUCAUGGUGGGCUGGUCGACCAGUCCCUGAGCGUAUAGUGCUCGGUGGUCAGUGCAGUCCCCGAAUUCUCAAAUUGGUGGGCUGGUCGACCAGUCCCCGAGCGUAUAGUGCUCGGUGGUCGGUGCAGUCCCCAAGUUCUUAAAUUGGUGGGCUGGUCGACCAGUCCCCGAGCGUAUAGUGCUCGGUGGUCGGCACAGUCCUCGAGCACGGCGUAGGGACCGACGGACAAGUCCCCGAGCGUGGUUGGGAACGUAAACGUGCUCGGUGGUCGGCACAGUCUUCGAGCAUAGCAUAGAGAUUAGUCGACAAGUCCCCGAGCGUGGUUGGGAACGUAAACGUGCUCGGUGGUCGGAGCAGUCCCCGGGCACAGCGUAGGGAAUAGUCGACGAGUCCCCGAGCGUAGCUUGUCGACUGGGCCAAACCCCUGAAAAAUAAAUAUAAAUAAUAGGUAGUACAUGAUGUAUAAAUAAACUUUAGAUAAAAAUCAGUACUGAGAUAAGUUUUAGAUUUUUUGUUAUAAAAUUAGCACAAGUAGUUAAUUCAUCCUAGAGCUUGUACCAGCUCUGGUCUAGCCAACAAUCAGCAUGAGGUGCGGAACCUAGACACGCGUGGGAUUGCCAGCCUCGCCAGAGAGCUACUGCCGACCACCCGGAACGCAGAGGGCGGAUCUCGUGCACGUGUAGGGAGGAGUCGGAGACAGUACCGGCUCUGGAAAGCUCGUGUAGUAGAAAAAAACUAGUGUGGCUAAAUAAAAAGUUGUUUUUGAAGGAUAAUAAAAAAUAUUAUGCCAAAAAUAAAUAAGAUAUUAGAAGUGUACUUAUCUUUGGAUGAAAGUCUAGUCGGUGACGACAAAAUUGUCCGGCUCUCGAGCUUUUCGACUUGUCAUGACGGUGGUCGCUGUUGUCGUAGCGUCGUUCUUCGCGGCGAUUAUUAUUGCGACUGGUGGUUAGAGCAAGUAGGCUAAACAAUUUGGUCGAUGGCCCGAGCAGGUCGGUGUUGUCGAUCUGCCUCCCUUUGUAGCAGGGAAGCGGGUGACGCGUUGUCGGCGUGGUCGGAGACGUUGCUGGAGUAGUCGGAGUCGUAGCCAGCGUGGUUGAAGCCGCCACCGACGUCGAUGAAGAAGUGGUUGGCGCAGAUCGGAUCUACACCUCCUCCGUGGUCAUGGCGGUGAAGUUGUUGAAGCUGACGGUGAACGUGAAGUCGCCCGCCAUGGCCGCGAAGUCAGGGAUGAUGGCCAUCUUGUUCGUCGGAAGAGCUGUACGCACACCCCCUACCUGGCGCGCCACUGUCGACGAAAGCUGGUCGGCAGUCUACCUUGGGGUAUACCCACGGUAGUAGUUUAUCGGUAGACGGUGCGCAAACUACAAACUCGAUGGUGACGCAAGACACGGACAAGCUUUUUAUCCAGGUUCGGCCGCCGAGUUGGCGUAAUACCUACGUCCUGCGUCUUGUUGUAUUGAUUUGUGUUGAGAGAAUAUGAUGUCCCCUAGGGGGGUCCCUUGCCCCUCCUUAUAUAGUCUGGAGGGCAGGGUUACAGAUCUGGAAACUAAUCCUAGUCGGUUACAAUUGCCAUGGAUAAUUCGAUAUCAAUUCCUAUUCUAACCGACUAGAAUCCUGCUUAAUCUCCACAUCUUGUUUCCUUGCGCGAAACUCCAGGUUGUCGGAUCAAGCCUUGAACUCGUCUCGUAAUGGGCCAAGCCUCCUGGCGGAAGACUAGCCGUAAGGGUAUAGGGGUUUAUACCCCCACAGCUAGUCCCCGAGCACCAUGUAUUGUGAUGUAACACGCCGUCUUGAGCUUCUUCGAUCAGUGAGACUUGACGUCUUCAAUAAGUGGGAAAGUCGCCCAAACAGUUGCAACAGUAUUUUGACCAACUCAAAAAACAGUUGAUCAACAUUGACAUCGAAGAAGCAGGUUGUUUGAAGAAUGCAUGGUGCUCUUAAUUAAAAAAGAUUUCUUUCCUGCUGAAGUGUGCCCACUUUACUUUUCUGAAAAGUAUAGACCUCAAAAUAGCAAGCAUAUUCACCGCAAGGUGAAGUGUGCCCACUUAGUCCCCGAGCCUGGUAGUAGGUGACGUAGACACGUGGUGCCAGGGUCAAAAGAAAAGUUCUUAAAGAAAUUCUGAAACUGAGAUGCAUCGCCAGAUGCAUCGUACCGAUGUAGUCUCCGAGCUUGCUGGAAGGCGAAGUAUGAGCCUUGUAGCAAGGUCUAAAAAAUUGAAUUUACCAGUCCCCGAGCAUAUCAUGCUCGUCUACAAUUGAAUAGACUAAUCGACCAGUCUCCGAGCAUAUAACGCUCGGUGGUCGGUACAGUCCCCGAAUUCUCAUGGUGGGCUGGUCGACCAGUCCCUGAGCGUAUAGUGCUCGGUGGUCAGUGCAGUCCCCGAAUUCUCAAAUUGGUGGGCUGGUCGACCAGUCCCCGAGCGUAUAGUGCUCGGUGGUCGGUGCAGUCCCCAAGUUCUUAAAUUGGUGGGCUGGUCGACCAGUCCCCGAGCGUAUAGUGCUCGGUGGUCGGCACAGUCCUCGAGCACGGCGUAGGGACCGACGGACAAGUCCCCGAGCGUGGUUGGGAACGUAAACGUGCUCGGUGGUCGGCACAGUCUUCGAGCAUAGCAUAGAGAGUAGUCGACAAGUCCCCGAGCGUGGUUGGGAACGUAAACGUGCUCGGUGGUCGGAGCAGUCCCCGGGCACAGCGUAGGGAAUAGUCGACGAGUCCCCGAGCGUAGCUUGUCGACUGGGCCAAACCCCUGAAAAAUAAAUAUAAAUAAUAGGUAGUACAUGAUGUAUAAAUAAACUUUAGAUAAAAAUCAGUACUGAGAUAAGUUUUAGAUUUUUUGUUAUAAAAUUAGCACAAGUAGUUAAUUCAUCCUAGAGCUUGUACCAGCUCUGGUCUAGCCAACAAUCAGCAUGAGGUGCGGAACCUAGACACGCGUGGGAUUGACAGCCUCGCCAGAGAGCUACUGCCGACCACCCGGAACGCAGAGGGCGGAUCUCGUGCACGUGUAGGGAGGAGUCGGAGACAGUACCGGCUCUGGAAAGCUCGUGUAGGAGAAAAAACUAGUGUGGCUAAACAAAAAGUUGUUUUUGAAGGAUAAUAAAAAAUAUUAUGCCAAAAAUAAAUAAGAUAUUAGAAGUGUACUUAUCUUUGGAUGAAAGUCUAGUCGGUGACGACAAAAUUGUCCGGCUCUCGAGCUUUUCGACUUGUCAUGACGGUGGUCGCUGUUGUCGUAGCGUCGUUCUUCGCGGCGAUUAUUAUUGCGACUGGUGGUCAGAGCAAGUAGGCUAAACAAUUUGGUCGAUGGCCCGAGCAGGUCGGUGUUGUCGAUCUGCCUCCCUUUGUAGCAGGGAAGCGGGUGACGCGUUGUCGGCGUGGUCGGAGACGUUGCUGGAGUAGUCGGAGUCGUAGCCAGCGUGGUUGAAGCCGCCACCGACGUCGAUGAAGAAGUGGUUGGCGCAGAUCGGAUCUACACCUCCUCCGUGGUCAUGGCGGUGAAGUUGUUGAAGCUGACGGUGAACGUGAAGUCGCCCGCCAUGGCCGCGAAGUCAGGGAUGAUGGCCAUCUUGUUCGUCGGAAGAGCUGUACGCACACCCCCUACCUGGCGCGCCACUGUCGACGAAAGCUGGUCGGCAGUCUACCUUGGGGUAUACCCACGGUAGUAGUUUAUCGGUAGACGGUGCGCAAACUACAAACUCGAUGGUGACGCAAGACACGGACAAGCUUUUUAUCCAGGUUCGGCCGCCGAGUUGGCGUAAUACCUACGUCCUGCGUCUUGUUGUAUUGAUUUGUGUUGAGAGAAUAUGAUGUCCCCUAGGGGGGUCCCUUGCCCCUCCUUAUAUAGUCUGGAGGGCAGGGUUACAGAUCUGGAAACUAAUCCUAGUCGGUUACAAUUGCCAUGGAUAAUUCGAUAUCAAUUCCUAUUCUAACCGACUAGAAUCCUGCUUAAUCUCCACAUCUUGUUUCCUUGCGCGAAACUCCAGGUUGUCGGAUCAAGCCUUGAACUCGUCUCGUAAUGGGCCAAGCCUCCUGGCGGAAGUCUAGCCGUAAGGGUAUAGGGGUUUAUACCCCCACAUGUUUAGAUAGAGCAAAACAUAUGAAUAUUAUCUUUAUCUCAUUCAAUGUGCCUAAGGCUAGAGAAUAAUGAACAAACCUUUUGGUUUUGUUGGUGUUUUCCACCAACAGGGCCCAUGCACUUGAUCUCUGCCUUGUCUCUAUGAGCAGGUACACUUCAAGCAAAACAUGGAGGAGUUUUACAACUCCCAGACUCCACCAAGUGAAGGACCUGGAUCUACGAGCACAAACACACUGACCAGGAUGCUGCCAACGCCGCACUUCGAACUGCUGGACAAACGAAGCACAUGGGUGACACCGUAUCAAGAGGUGCAGACGUCAAGAUCCACACCUAAAUCAAAUGACACACCUAAAGAAUGAACAUGGUGAGAAGUCUUGUUCAGAAGACUUAAAACAUUGAAUCCUCGCCGAAAGGUAAAAUCGAUAGUUAUCCAUAUUUAUCCUUUCUGCAUUCCCUUUUUCCUUAAAUUAUUUACUUUCCUUAAAUAGCUUGUUAGUUAAUCAUGCUAUCUUGAAAAGAAAUUAAAAAUGUUAAAAACAGUAAGCCCCAUGCGAGUAUGCUCAUGGCAUAAAACCCAUAAGUACAUUCACUGUGGUGGCGUAAAAAUAAAAAUAUUCCUGUCCUAUAAAUAUGAAAAUAUAAAAAUAAAUUUAUGAUCCUACCAAAUAGAGUAAUAUUUAUUAGAGGAAGCUCAACAUGAUAACGGCUAAGAGAUUUUAUGCUAACACUUAACCAGUUCCACAAAGCUUUGUUGUCUAUUUGAGCUCCACAGAAUUCAAGGAUCAAAGAAGACUAAGCAGACGGAGGACAUCCUAAUCGCUGUCAGGGUGCUGCCGACAUUCAAAUACACCUCCGCCACCUGCUAGCUACAUCAGAAGAAAUUACGUCAAAAUCCAGCUUGGGGGAGAGCACCCCUAUUUAUCUAGCUAAGUGUUCUACUCAUGUUUAUACUUUAGUCAAAUAAUAAAAAGAUGCAUAGUCAUAAAAACCCAAAUAAAUAUUUUUGUGCUUAUAUAUAUAUCUUUGCUUAGUUUGCUAAAUAAAUAAAUGAAUAAAGUUUGCUAUGAACCCUCAUGAUAAGCUCUCACAUAGAACUGAUGAAUAGUUGCUCUGCCAUGACUAGUUCUCAAAAUUGAAAUCUCUCUCAAGUUUAGACAUGACUGUUAUUAAUUAAGAUUUGCUCUAAACCAGAACUUGUGGGAAGAGUACUUGAUCUAAAGUCUAAGUCGUUAACGAAUACGAUAUGGGAAGGUUGAGCUGUUGUUUAUCUGUUCCUAGAGAUGCUAAAAUUUUAGAGAAUUUUAUCUUUGAAAAUCUUUAAAAUGUUGCAUGAUGAGUUUCUAUAUGAUGAGAGUUUAAAAUCCUACCACAGUCAUAUAUACAUGCUUAUUAGACUAUGAACCAUACAUUUACUUUUUACUACUUAUGAGCGUUGAGUGUGGUCAAGCUGUGUAGACCGUUAGGAGCUUGUCAUAUGGUUAAAAUCAAGAUUCACUUGCACGUUCACUCAUACAUGUUGCUUCUACUCUGGAAGUACACAUCCACAUACAUCCACUCAUUUCCUUAUCCAGAUUCACCCAAAAUUAUCUACUCCUAUCUAGGAGAGAAUAGCCAAAAACAUUAUCCUAUCUCUGUUAUUCCCCAUGAAAUAAAUGCUCAAGAUAUUUUGGUUACUACCACUUGCUACAUUAUUUCAGGUGGGUGAGUGCUCUGAAAAAAAAAGUGAAUACGAGGAAAUAAAAAGGGGCAAGUGCUUGAAACCUCGAAAAAAAAGAUAAAGUGAGACGAGAGGUAAAAAUGGACAAGUGUCCGACAGUAGAAUUAAGGGUACAAAAUACCCACCUGAGAGAAAAAGAAAAGAUAGAGCAUCUCAUUCUCAAGAGUUUCCAAGAGCAAGAAAGGUAUGUAUCCCCUCAAAAGAGCCAAAGUAGAAUUAGACUUUCACCAUUAUUUUCACCAUUAUCACCAUUCAUUCGCCACACAUGCACAUCUUGAUUUCACUUAUUGACUUGUUCUUCUGGAUCUAUGGUUUGACUAUGCAAUAAAUGUCUUGUAAGUAUGUAUUAGCUGUCUCCCACCUAUGAGCUCCAGAUAUCAAAACCUUAUUAGAGUAGGGUG
rnacentral:lncRNA from 1 species